AGGUACUAGAGUAUUAUAUAUCACCGGAAAGCUCUUUGAGUCUAGUUUCCAACAGAAGAAGCGGAUCACGAAUCCAAUACUCGAGCAAAAAGUUAUUUACAGAAUAGUGGGCGGAUGUCACAUCCCGACCCUUAUAUUUUUACCUUAUUUACUAGCGUGAUUAUAAUAAGAAUUUUACCGUCUCGAUCAUUGAAUUAAUAGUUAAUUGGUCCCUAGAGGGGUUUCGGGGACGAUUAUGUGCGGAGGAUUAUUCGUAUGAUGAAAAUACGACGACGGUAAAAAUAGUAAUUUUAGCUAGUAAAAGGUAAUUUUUAUUCGGGUAUUAUUUUUUUCGGGGUGUUUUAUUUUAGAAUUGGGUAGUAUAUAGGUGAUGGACCGGUUUGGGGUGUGAGGCCCAAACCCAUUUUCUUUUCCUCCCGAUUUUCUCUCCUCACCCGCUCCCGCACCCGAGCCCUCCCGCUGCCGGAUUUCCGACCGCCAGACCGCCGCCGUCCGGCCGCCCCAGACCGCCGCACCGGNNNNNNNNNNNNNNNNNNNNCUUGCCAGUGGGAAAGAAGUAUAAAUUAGGAUAAAUUGGCGGAGCUUUAUGUGAACGAAAUUGUGAGGCUUCAUGGUGUUCCUGAAUCAAUAGUGUCAGAUCGGGAUCCUCGUUUUGCUUCUAAAUUCUGGGGAGCUCUUCAGGCAGCUUUAGGUACCCAAUUACUCUUCAGUACUGCUUUUCAUCCUCAGACUGAUGGACAGUCCGAGAGGACUAUUCAGACUUUGGAGGAUAUGUUGAGGGCUUGUGCCAUGCAGUUCAGAGGGAGUUGGGAUAAGAACCUAUCUUUGAUGGAAUUUGCCUAUAAUAAUAGCUAUCAUUCUAGCAUUGGUAUGGCUCCCUUUGAGGCUCUUUAUGGGAGGCAGUGUCGCACGCCUUUGUGUUGGAAUGAAGUGGGGGAAAAAGAGCUUUGUGGCCCAGAGUUAAUCCAUGUUACAAAUGAGAAGAUUAAAGUGGUUAGAGAUAGACUCAAGACGGCUCAGAGUAGGCAGAAGAGUUAUGCGGAUGUCCGUAGGAGAGAUCUAGAAUUUCAAGUGGGUGAUUGGGUGUUCCUGAAAUUAUCUCCUUGGAAAGGGGUUGUGCGCUUCGGGAAGCGUGGGAAGCUUAGCCCGAGGUAUAUUGGCCCUUAUGAGAUUAUAGAGCGAGUUGGCUCACUUGCUUAUCGAUUAGCCUUGCCUCCAGAGUUAGCUAGGAUACAUAAUGUGUUUCAUGUAUCCAUGCUUCGAAAGUAUAUUGCCGAUCCUUCUCAUGUGCUGCAAGAGCAGCCGAUCAGUUUAACGAGAGAUUUGACCUAUGAAGAGGAACCGGUUCAGAUUCUCGACCGAAAGGAGCAAGUGCUUAGGAAUAAGUCAAUCCCGCUUGUCAAGGUGCUUUGGAGAAGUCAUCUAGUAGAAGAAGCUACUUGGGAAUCAGAGGAGCAAAUGAUGCAGCAGUAUCCCUAUCUCUUUGGAUGACAGGUACGUAAAUUUCGAGGACGAAAUUUUUAUAAGGAGGGGAGAAUUGUCACAUCUCGACCCUUAUAUUUUUACCUUAUUUACUAGCGUGAUUAUAAUAAGAAUUUUACCGUCUCGAUCAUUGAAUUAAUAGUUAAUUGGUCCUUAGAGGGGUUUCGGGGACGAUUAUGUGCGGAGGAUUAUUCGUAUGAUGAAAAUACGACGACGGUAAAAAUAGUAAUUUUAGCUAGUAAAAGGUAAUUUUUAUUCGGGUGUUAUUUUUUUCGGGGUGUUUUAUUUUAGAAUUGGGUAGUAUAUAGGUGAUGGACCGGUUUGGGGUGUGAGGCCCAAACCCAUUUUCUUUUCCUCCCGAUUUUCUCUCCUCACCCGCUCCCGCACCCGAGCCCUCCCGCUGCCGGAUUUCCAACCGCCAGACCGCCGCCGUCCGGCCGCCCCAGACCGCCGCACCGGUCCCAAUCGAACGGCCUCCAACCCAGCUUCCAUUCUAGGCCGGUAGCAGCCCCCCUAGCGCCGCCGUGAGUGAGCGGUGCCGCCCGAAAGGAUAGGCUGCCCCGAACUUCCGGUCGCCGGAACUCCCUCCUCCGGCCAUCAAUCCGGGCAAGCUUGGUACGGUUUUGUAGCCCUCCUCCCGUGCAGCAACCCCUCCAAGCAGCUCCCUCCCUCUUGAGCUAGGUAAGGAGAAAUGUGGAGUUGAAAUUUCUAAGGCUUUUAAGUUGUUUUCAUUCGAUUAGCCUAGUUAGGCUUGGAAUUGGGUGAUGUGUUGGUCAUGAAAGUUGUAGAGGAGAUUGAGAGGAAGAUUCUGUUAAAAUUUGGUAGCAUUUGCAGGUCGCCGGAGUUGGUCGCCGGCCGCCGCUGUUUUGGGAAAUUUUGUGGUUUUUGAUGUAGAAUAUUAAGGGAAUAUUAUUGAGGUGAAUUUUGGAAUUUUUGGAUGAGAUUUGGAUAGGUUUGUGAAUUUCCGAAGUGUGGUAUUUUUGGCGGGUAAUUAAUGUAGAAUCCGGCCGUAGGAAUUAAGUCGUAUUUUGGAGAGGUUGUAUUUACGACUGUUGAGUAUGAUAUUUAAGUUCGGAUUGUUCCGAUUUAAGAUUAUCGAAGUUAGGCAAUGAUGAGCGUAUUUAUGGCUCUCGGGUAAUUUUGCCUAUUUUGAUUAAAUAUUGGAUUAUUGGUUGGGAAUUAAUAUUAUAUUUGGAACAGGACGUGAGGAGGCUCGAGCAGACGAGACCCCAGAUCGACAUCAGGCUUAGGCCUAAUUUGUGAGUGGACUUUUANNNNNNNNNNNNNNNNNNNNNNNNNNNNNNNNNNNNNNNNNNNNNNNNNNNNNNNNNNNNNNNNNNNNNNNNNNNNNNNNNNNNNNNNNNNNNNNNNNNNNNNNNNNNNNNNNNNNNNNNNNNNUUAAGGCGUGACGUGAGCGUUGGACGCGAGCGUAGUAGCCCUAUAUAGACUCAUGAAUUUAUAUAGGGAGUAUGGACGAGUGUAAAUACAUACAUAUAUUAUAGAGUCUGAGAGGCUCGACAUUUAUGGGAUAAAAGUUUUAUCGCUUGCGGCAUGCAUUCGAUUUUCCCUUAGAAAUUAAUUUGGGGAAACAUAAAUAUUUUAUUUAUUAUUUUAUUUUUGUCCACUCACUCUAACGUUAUUAAAUGUUUUCCCCUGGGCCCUUCGUUUUAAAUUGCCCAGUCUGCAGAGUUCGGGUUGGAUCUAGUAGGAGACGAGGCAUAGUCACCCGCAUUUCUGCCAGUUUUCGUCAGUAGGUUACCUGUUCAACCUACUCGUGUUUUCUUUCUUCCGCUUGUAUUUAGUAGCUCUGAAUACUUUGGGAUUAUUGUAAAUUAUGUGAUGUUCGGAAGUGUUGAAUUAAGAGUGUAAUAUGAAAUUUUCGAGUUAGGGUUGUCCAUCUGCAAGGGAGAUUUUCUUAAUCUUUUCAGUAAAUUUUCCUUGGAGGUGGUCCCCGCACGACUUACUCCGGGUUUCAGGGUGAAAUUCGGGGUGGGUCGUGUCAGCGGAGGUCAAAGCUGAGAAGUUCCUAAACUGUUUAGGAGAUACCAAUUCGUUUUUCUCUUCCUUUCCUUUUAGGAUUCCCUUUACUUUUAGAAUUAGGAUUUGAUCUUUUCUCUUCCUUGUCUCCCCGUGUGUCUAUAUAACUAAGAUCUUUUCAGUUUUGUAGGCACAAUCAUCCAAGUUCUUUCCAACAUUUAUGCAAGGACGACGUUCUCGCAGCCUCGACCUUGAACCUUUUGAUCCUGAACCUGAGAGGACUUUUCGACAACGCAAUCAGCAGAAGAAGAAACCUGUUGUUCAAUCACUUCAAUCCAUAAUGGGUGUUCGUGCGUUGGUAAACAAUGAUCCACCAAAGAAGUUGCGUGAGUAUACUGCACCUACAACCUAUGAUGCACCUUCUUGUAUUGUUUUGGCACCUAUUGCGCAGCAAUUUGAGAUACGCCCUACAACAAUUCAACUUUUGCCUAUAUUUUAUGGGAAGGAGAAUGAGAAUCCCUGUAACCAUCUCAAAGGCUUCUUUGCUAUAUGUUCCACAUUCAAUUAUCAAGGAGUCACCAAGGAGCAGAUUCGACUUCACAUGUUCCCGUUUUCUUUGAAAGAUAAAGCACAAAGCUGGCUCGACUCUCUUGCACAAGGCUCCAUCACCACUUGGGCUGAAUUGUCUAAAAAGUUUUUUAGCAAGUUUUAUCCGGCUCGCAAGACGAAUGCAUUAAUCUCUGAGAUCAUGUCCUUUGCUUAAGAAGUUGACGAACCCUUUCAUGAUGCAUGGGAGCGUUACAAGGAUUUGUUUUUGCAAUGUCCUCAUCAUGGCUUUGAACCUUGGCAGAAAAUUAACUACUUUUACAGAGGACUUACACCCCAAUCUAGAGCAAUGGUUAAUGCAACAGUGGGUGGGAGUUUAAUGGAGAAAACAGCAGAAGAGGCCAUUGAAGCAUUCGAAAACAUAUGUGAAAAUUCGCAGCAUUGGGAUUACAAUCCAAGGGGUAGAGUGCAAGCUCCAGCAGCAAAAAGUAUGUAUGAAGUGAAAGCACAAGGAGGUCUAGAGGAAGAAGUUGCAGCUCUAAGGAGGCAACUACAAGGGCUUACUCCACUUUUGAGCAAGGUGAAGGAGACGUGUGCUCUAUAUUCAAGUUUCACCCAUGACAUUGAUGAAUGUCCCUCAAAUCCGAUGCUAGAAGAAGUGCAACAAGUGAAUCAUUUUAAUGCAAGGCCAAGGAGUGAUCAAUAUUCGGAUGGAAAAAUCCUCCAAAUAAUUCUUGGAGGAACAAUCAAGGUUAUCAAGGUGCUGGACCUUCACAAAGAUCAUAUCAACCAUAUCAAGGAGCAUGAGCUGAACCACCGAAGUCCUCACUUGAAGAAACAUUGAAAGCAUUCAUGGCUAGCCAGGAACAACAUUCUCAGUACUUGUCUAACACAGUGGAUACUCUUGCAAUCAAAGUAAACAGUCAAGGAGCUUCUAUUUCAUAGCUUGAAACACAAAUGGGGCAAUUGGCUGCAAGGUUAAGUGAAAGAGAGCAUGGGAAAUUUCCAGUCAACCCGAGAUCAAUCCAGGUAGCCAUAAGCAUAUAAAUUCGGUUACCACCUUGAGGAAUAUUGGAAUAGUGAUUGAUAAUAAGGUGGGCAGCAAUGAGGAAAACGUGCAAGAAGAAGAACAUGAAGCUGACACACCUCAGGAUCACAGUGUUGUUUCACUCCCGAAAGAGUCUGUUCAAGAAAAAGUAAUUUCUGCUCCAAAGACAUCUGACAAGUCUACUCCAAAGAAUAUGUACGUGCCUCCUAUUCCAUAUCCUCAACAUUUGAAGAAGAAGAAGAAUGACAAGCAUAUGAUGGAUAUUCUGGAGAUGUUCAAAAAGGUGCACAUUAACAUUCCUCUUCUCGAUGCAAUUAGUCAAAUUCCCACAUAUGCAAAGUUUCUGAAGGAGUUAUGCACGAAUAAAAGAAAGUUUGAGGAGCAUGAAAAGGUUAUGCUAUCUGAAGAAGUGAGUGCAGUGUUACAACGGAAGCUUCCUCCAAAAUUGAAGGAUCCUGGUAGCUUUUCUAUCCCUUGCACUAUUGGUGAUCAUUCUUUCAAGAAAGCUAUUCUUUCAAGUGUGAAUCUUAUGCCAUAUUCCAUCUAUGAACAACUAAAUUUGGGGGAAUUACAAGAAACUACAGUGAAGUUGCAGCUAGCCGAUCGAUCUCUGAAAAUCCCAAGAGGAAUCGUUGAAGAUGUAUUAGUGAAAGUUGAUCAACUCAUCCUUCCAGCUGAUUUCUUUGUACUUGAUAUGGAAGAAGUGCCAAUACUGGACCAGGAGAUUCCUAUGUUGUUGGGCAGACCAUUCAUGGCUACUGCAGGGAUAAUGAUAGAUGUAAAACGAGGAAGACUCACAAUGGAAGUACAAGAUAUGAUGGUAGAGUUUAAAGUCUUUGACGCGGCUAAGCAUCCUUCAGAGAGUUCUCAUUCCUUUUCUGCGUAGGUUGUUGAUCAGAUUGUGCAUCAAAGUUUCCUAGAAAAUCAUUCUCCUGAUCCCAUAGAGACAUGUCUUGCUUAUAAUGGAAUGGAAUUCACUGAGCCGAGGAUUGAAGAGGCCGCUGCAAUCCUCCACGUUGUUCCUAAGUAUUCUCCACAAUUUCAGUUGAGUUUUGAAGCUCUUCCUCCUUCCAAUGCCAAGAUUGUUCCCUCUAUUGUUAAAGCACCUGUAUUGGAGUUGAAACCAUUUCCAAAACAUCUGAAAUAUGCAUACCUUGGAGAUUUGGAGACUUUACCUGUGAUAAUAGCUUCAAAUUUAAGCAGGCUUGAAGAAGAGAAGUUGCUAAGAGUUCUCAAAGAUCAUAAGGCAGCCAUUGGGUGGUCUAUUGCAGACAUUAGAGGUAUAAGUCCCACAAAGUGCAUGCAUCGCAUUCUUUUGAAGGAUGAAUCAAAGCCAAGUCGUGAGGAACAAAGGAGAUUGAACCCGCAUAUGAAAGAAGUGGUAAGGACUGAAAUUUUGAAGCUCCUUAAUGUAGGAAUUAUUUAUCCUAUUUCGGAUAGCAAGUGGGUGAGUGCGGUGCAAGUCGUUCCAAAGAAAUCCGGUAUUACCGUCGUCAAGAAUGAUUCCAAUGAAUUGGUGCCUCAAAGAGUGAUAACGGGUUGGAGAGUUUGCAUAGAUUACCGGAAGCUUAAUGCAUCUACACGGAAGGAUCACUUCCCUUUGCCAUUCAUCGAUCAAAUGCUUGAAAGAUUAGCCGAUCACAGUCACUAUUGUUUCUUGGAUGGUUACAGCGGUUAUAAUCAGAUUGCCAUAGCACUGGAGGAUCAAGAAAAGACCACUUUUACAUGUCCCUUUGGCACUUUCGCAUACCGGAGGAUGUCGUUUGGUCUUUGCAAUGCGCCAUCAACUUUUCAAAGGUGUAUGCUCAGUAUUUUCUCUGAUAUGGUGGAAAGAUUCAUUGAAGUUUUCAUGGACGACUUCAGUGUGUUUGGCUCUAGCUUUGAUGAGUGUCUCCAUCACUUGCAGCUUGUUCUCACAAGAUGCGAAGAAUGCAACUUGGUGCUUAAUUGGGAGAAGUGCCAUUUUAUGGUGCAACAAGGUAUUGUGCUUGGCCAUGUAGUUUCGCAUAGAGGUAUUGAAGUAGACAAGGCAAAAGUUGACUUGAUAGCCAAGCUCCCUCCACCUACAACAGCGAAAGGAAUAAGAAGCUUCCUUGGACAUGCCGGUUUUUAUCGAAGAUUUAUCAAGGAUUUCUCACGCAUCGCAAAGCCUUUAUGUGAUCUUCUUGCUAAGGAUGCCACCUUCUGCUUCAAUGAUGCGUGCCUAAAGGCUUUCAACACACUCAAAGAGCUCUUAACGAAAGCUCCCAUCAUUAUGGCACCAUCAUUAACGAAAGCUCCCAUCAUUCGGAAUGAACCCUGCGAGGACCACCUCCAAAGGAGAUGCUACCGGAAAUUCAGCAUAACCUCCCUUGAAAAUGGACAACACUUCCUAAAGCCACAUGCAAAUACACUUCUAAAAUCAAAUUCCAACCUUUUACUCCUGGAGCCUUCCUGCUCCCCCAAGUUCAUCACAUCUCCCAAAAUAAAAUACUAAUCCAAAUAAUCCCACAGCCAAUAAGUUUACUCAAUAAUUUAUUAACUGGAUUAUCAGAGCAUAUCUAUAAUGAAGGAAAAACAAAGAAUAAGGAAUAAGCGAGAGCAAUCUCUGACUAUGCCUCGACUCCAUGUACGCUCGACCUUAUUUAAACUUAUCCUGCAUACUGGGCAUUUAAAACCAAAGAGCCUAAGAGAAAGUAAUUUAAAACGUUAGAGUGAGUGGACAAAAAUAAAUUAAAUAAUUUAACAAAAAUGUAAUUUUAAUAUUUUCCCACAUUUAAACUUUUAAAACCUCAAUGCACGCAACUUUGAUAAACACUUAAUUUUAAAAAUCCAUAAUCUCAUAAAACAACAAAAGCAGCCCCGCUGGUUAAACAAAUACGGAAAUCUCGUAAGAAGAGAUAAACCAACCCCGCUGGUUAAUCAAAUAAAUAGCUAAAAGGAAUAAAAUAAGGGGAAGAGUUAUCACCAUUGAAAAAGGAGCCUCACAGGCUCGGGUCGGUGCCUCCCAGGCUAUUAUAGCGUCUCACGCUAAGCGCUCUACUCACCUAUAGUGAGGAUUGCUAAUAAUGGCUAGCUAACUAAUAAAUAUAAAUACUGAUCGGUUGCCUCUCAGGCUAUAAUAGCGUCCCACGCUAAGCGCUCAACUCACCUAUAGUGAGGACCGCUAAUAAUGGUUAGCUAGCAAUAAUCAAUAUAAACGAUCCUAUAUUAUGGUGACUAGAAACAUACGAAAUCACUUAAAUCCAUUAAACUUCCCCAAAGAGCAUACGAAUGGUACGGUUCCCAACCGUACUUGAAAAUCAUCAUAAGAAUUUAUAAUAAAACUCAAUGACGUGUGUUGAAAAUCAUCAUAAGAAUUUAUAAUAAAACUCAAUGACGUGUCUCACACGUCAAAAUAGUCUCAAAUUUAUAAAUAUAAGCGAGAUUUCAUUAUCCAAUAAAAAUCAUAAUUAAUAAUAUCUCCACUCGAAAAUACUCGCUAAAAAAUAUUCUUCAGGUCAAAAUCAUAAUGCCUCAAAUAAACAAUUAAAUUAUGAUGGAGAACUACCGAAAAUCCUAUUUUCGGUAAUCAUUUAUAAAUCUCAAAGUCAUCAAAAAUAAAACCGAUAAUAUUAAAUCCAGAAUCAUAAAGAAUAUCAAAACUCAAAUACCACCUUUAUAACCCGAGCUCAAAUUCAUAAAUCAUGACCAACACUUGAUCAAUGCUUCAAACUCAAUAAAUUCAAGACCAUAUCAUAAACCAAAAUUUUAAUAUAAGUUCGGUUAAUAAAGUAAUAAAUUAUAAAAUCUUGCAUGCUUAUUUACUAAAACCAAAGUGUCCACUCACAGUAUUAGGCGUAAGCUUUCCAUUGCUCGGGACACUCCUUGAGCGCCGCCUCCAAAUAUCCAUGUCCUUGAGUCAAUCCCACGCCUGACCAUAAGUUGUAAAACAAAUAGGUCAGACUGAACUUUAAAAUAACCAUUGCCUCGUCUUCUUUCCUAGUUUGACUAGGGAUUCCUAGGUUGACUAGGAUUGACCAACUAACGAUGCUCAACGUUUUCCAAUUCAACCUUUGACUUAACAAUUCCAUCCAAUUUUCACUAUACAUCCUACUAACCGUUAGCCACUUAGGCGUCGUUUAAUAAUUCGUUUUGGUGGACUUCAAUUUUGAUUAAUCAACUAAUGUAACUUCGUUAACUCAAAAACAUACAAUCACCUUAAUCUGGAAAACCACCAAAUUACUAAGGGCACCCAAAAAGGGUUUCCAUAAAUGGGAAGUUUCUAUAAAGGGAAAGUUUUCAUCUUCCGAUUACAACCCAAAUUUUCCCUUUUUGGAACUACAAUACGAAUUAGAAAGAAUGGCCUCAAAACCUACCUCAUAGGCUCCUGCCGGAAAAACUGCCUUCACCGGAAUCCGACGACGGAUUCCGGCAAUUUGCCAGAAUAUUCUGCCGGAAAAUGGCCAUAGCCUCCCCAAAACUCCGAUUCAUCUAGUUCUCGACAACCAACCAAAUAGCUAAAUCAAACACCAACCAAACACAACAUAACAACAACAACACCAUAGCUUGACAAUGUUAGAGAUUCAGCCUUACCAUCUGCUCACCCAACACACGAAUCCAAGAGCUCCUCCUUGCCAACACUCAACUUGCAGGACUUCCAAACAUCUCCAGCUGCUGCCUUAGUCGCCACCUCUACCGAGAUAGCACCACAUCACCUCAGGUUCUCUCUAGCCAAACACACCAAGCCUCUGACUUGGUCCAGUUUGACAACUGCAGCUCCACAAGUCACUCCAAGGUCCCACCGGACUCCCCACUAAGCUUCAAAGACUCACCAAAACCCGAAACACUCGCCGGAACUACUGAACGUAGGUUGCCAGAGCUAGGAGCUCGAAACCCAGAAAAGAGAAGGAAAAGGGAUUUUCAGAUUAGGGUCCGAUUUUAUGAAACAAAGGCACAGAGAUGAAGAGAAGAGAGAGGUGAACCGAGACAUACCAUCGGCGUCCGAUGAACUCGCCAGAAAACGCUGGAAACCGAUGAACACAGUCGAGCUCCCUUCAAUCGAUUACCACCAAAUCGAGUUGCAAAUGAUGAUCUAUGAACUGGGUCUUGUAGAGAAGAAGGAGAGGAAGAUAUCGGUGGUAUUUUCGUGACCAGAGGUGGCCGGAAUCGGCGACGCCGUGCCGGAGAGAGCGGAGGAAGGCGGAGAAGAAAAGAGAGAGAGCUAGCUCGGGUCAACGCCCGAGUGUGGGUUUGACAAGGUCAACCCUCUGUUUUCCCUUUAUACCCGAACCAACGGUCAAGAUCGAAACCCUACUCGAUCAGACUGUCAAGAUUGUCAAGAUUAAAUGAGCUAUUCUAAUUUUAGAAAAUUAAUUUCUUUUACCAAACCUUCAAUAAAUCGUAGAAAAUACUUCGAAGCUUCGACAAUAAACCGAAAACACCGGAGAACCCGUGUCGACGCGAACUACAACACCGAGACCUUAAAAGAAGAAUUUGACAUUUUCAGAAGAACUCGCAAAUAAACUCGAGUGUUAACUUACUAAGUUACCAAGCACAGUUAAAUUCCUCAGUAACUCAUAGAAUACCGAGUAAAUAGAUAAAAUUGGGUACGGGGCGUUAUAAAAAUAGCUGCAAGGUAUGUUGUUGAUGGAGGAAUAUUGUUACAUAAACGGUUUCUAAGCCACUGCGAUGUUUGGGAAGCACAGAGUCACAACAAGUCUUGGAGGAAAUACAUGUAGGAGAAUGCGGCAGCUAUUAAGCCUCGGCUAUUAUUGGCCAACAAUGAGGAGGGAUGCUCACAUGAGAGUGAAGACAUGUCAUGCUAUGGUAAACCCCCCAUAACUAAUUUAUUAUCGGUACACCACCCCGAGCAUAGCUGUGAUGGCCAAGCUGACACAGCCUUGCAUACUGAUACACGUAAAAAAAAAAAUCCCAACAACACAUGAUAGUAAAAGCAACAUCUAUGAAGGGAAAUAAAAGGCGAAUCCUAAGACAAGACGCGAGUCUCCACAAACAAGAGCACUCAACAAUGCCAAGCGAGUCAAGCCAAGCCGGGGUGUGACAUGUUCAUUGCCAAGCCCAAACAUCGCAGAGUCUAUAAUGAUAAAAAAUAAAAUAAAAAAAAUGCAAGCGUAGCAAACACACGCACUCAAGCUAAAGGCCAUCCCUCAUAACCCAAAAUUCCAAACUAACUCCAACUCACCUACAUACAUGCUAUACAAAAAUAAAUAAAAAAUAAAUUAUUAGCAUCAGUAAUUCGGUUCCUCAUCUCCUUUUCUUCAUGCAUCAUAAGAUCAAUGUUGAAGGGAUGACACGUCCCUGCGACGCUCCCAGUAAACUAUAAAAACAAAGACGAACGGCGAGCACAACCCUUCUGCAUUCAAAACCCAAAUGCAAGGGUUCCCAAUUUGGUAAACAUAGACUCACCUGAGCGGAUUUGGCGCAGUCGGAUGACAGAAAUUCAAGGAAGGAUAAGAGUAAUCUGGGUAACUCAGUCAGCAAAUUGAUCCCUGCAACAAGAAAAGAUUGUGUGUCCCCGCAGCAAUAGGAAAAGCAUCAUCUAAGUGAAGAAUUCUGGGAGUUUGAGGAAGGAGGAAGAGACGAGAGCAAGCAUACCUUAGAGCUACAGUGAACUUUCAAUCGAAAUAGGCCAUCUCCCUGAGACUCCGACGCGCACAAAUUCAAUUUGGGGUAGACAGAACAGAAGACUAAAGACGAAGACGUGAAGACAAAAAAAAAAAAGGAAGAAGAAGAGGUGGAGUCAAAGUGAAAUAAGAAGACGGUCAACUUGGGCUCACUUAUGUUGACCAACGCAUAGUAUAUGGGCUGGGUUGAUUUUUCUGGCUUUUCUUUGAUUAUGUGGCCCAUUUCAUGCCUUAAAUAGCCCAUAUAAUCAAGGGGGCUAAUGUUGAUUAGGGGUGUUAUCGGUUUUAUUUGGUUCGGUUUCUACCUAAAACCGGAAACCAAACCGAACUAAAAAUUCGGUUCGGUUUAGUUUGGUUUUUUUUUAAUUGUAAACCGAAAACCGAAACCGAACUGAACCGAACGGUUCAGCCCGGUUCGGUUUUUAUUAUUUGAGUAAAUUUCAGUUUACUCCUCUGAACUUUAGGCCUAAAAUCAGUCUGAUACCUCAUCUUUUUUUUAANCAGUCUCAUCCCUAAACUUUCAAAAUGACAUCAAUCUCGACCAAAAUGACUAAAAUAGCCCUUUUUAAUCUUUUUACCUUAUUUUUUUAAUUUUUUACUCUCUCUCUCUCUNNNNNNNNNNNNNNNNNNNNGAGAGAGAGAGAGAGUAAAAAAUUAAAAAAUUAAGGUAAAAAGAUUAACAAGGGCUAUUUUAGUCAUUUUGGUCGAAAUUGAUGUCAUUUUGAAAGUUUAGGGAUUGAACUGAUUAAAAAAAAAGAUGAGGUAUCAGACUGAUUUUAAACCUAAAAUUCAGGGUAGUAAACUGAAAUUUAUUCUUUUUAUUUUUAUGGUAAUUUUAAUAUAGACUAUACAAGUAUACAGUUCUUCAUAUAUUGGAUAACAAAUGGUACAGAGGGGACUAACUACGAGGGUACUAUCGAUCAAAGACUGCACUAUGUUUCAGGCAUCUACAUUCCUUCAAUUAUCCAUGUUAUGUAUAACGAACAUGCAUGCAUCACUUAUUAAACAAGAACAACCUAUUAAAUAAGAACAAGCUUACCUAUCGAACUGAUGAGAAGGGGGACUGGCGGUGGUGGCGGAUUGGCGAGAGGGGGGAUUGGCAGAGGUGGCAAACCGGCGAGUGGCGGACUGGCGAGUGGCGACAGGGCAGACUGACGAGAGGGCGAGAGAGGACGAGACAUGUGAGAUUGGGAACUUCCGGCGAGAGGGGAUGUCACACCCCAAAUUUCGGAUAAAUAAAAAUCCAAAUUUAAGGCAUGAUAACAAAAAUAAAAAGAGUCAUAUAAUAAAAUUUGACGUUUACAUAACUUGAGAAGUCAAGUAAAGGUCACGCUCAAAAGAGCUCACUACAAUUUGACAUACAAUAACAAAAUGUUUAACUCCUAACAAACAGCUUCUAGACCUCUACGUCUCAGUCUUGAACUUCCUCACCUGCAAAAUCAACCUCUACACCAUGGAAUGGUGCACCGGGUUGUAAACAACAAAUCCGGUAAGCUUUAAAAGCUCGUAUGAGUAAAUCAAUAUUAAAGAACUCAACCCCGCAUCACAUAAGAUAAAAACCGGAAAUUCCUACAUUAGUAACUUAGUUCAGGAAUCGCCUAAAAACAAGAUAAUUUAAAAUAGAGAAAAUAAGAAAACACAACAAUUCAAAAUCACUCAAAAUCAUAAAUAAAUCCUGUGGAAAGCUUAGUUCAGGAUUCCAAUAAAAAUCACACAAUCAUUUCUCAACCCUUACUUAUGAGUUCGUCAACGCAUAGUCAUCCCUCAUAAGUAGCUAGACAAAACACGUACUCAUGGGUUCGUCAACACAUAAUCAUCCCCCAUGAAGUACCGACAGACUAGAGCUCUAAAACUGACCGUAACCAAUCACCCGGCCAAGGCUUGGUUCCCGGUCCACCACGAAGGCUCCUAUUCUAAUACUCACAACCACCACACAGACACACAACCACAACUAAUGCAAACAAGCACCACUUAGGCACAAUUAGCUCAACUUAACAUCACAACAAAUUCUCAACCAACGACAUACAUUUUAACAAGGCAUAAUAAAUCACAUCGAUAAAACCAACACAAACAACACCUCAUUAUAAUAUACUUUUUCACAUAUAGAUAUACAUAGACACACACAUAGAUAUUCUCACAAGAAUAAACUACCAAAAAUCAACAAAGAUGUGGUCACCGUAACCUUAAAAAUAAUUAUCUAAAUAGGAAAAACUUAUUUUCACUUACCAUGAGCCGUUGACGAUCAAGCUCAUUAUAUUUAAAAACAAAAAUCAUUUUCCAUCAAGGACAACUCAAAAAUUAACAACAAUAAACUAUAAAGUAAACUCGGUUCCUUUACGAACCCACGAUAUAAAAUAUAAUCGUCAUCAUCAUCAUCAUCAUCAUCAAAAUCAUCAACAUAAUCAUCAUCAUCAUCAAAAUCAUCAACAUAAUCAUCAUCAUAAUAAUUAUAAGGAAUUGGUCCCAAAGUGGACCUUGGUGAGAUUUUACUCACCUAAAAUCCCACUGCGUCUUCACACAAAAACUCAAGAGCCAAGCUCAACACCAACUCCACAAGUUACCUAAUUCACACAAAUAUUAACCUUAGUAACCAACAUGACCAAAACACUUCCCCCUUAAACCAAGACUCUACCCUUGACCCAAGGACUUGUCCGUCAAGACAACCCUUCUUCCGAGACCUCCCAAGGUCAUCGGACACUCAACAACAGAUCCAUGCUGCCUCCAAGUUCAAACUUCAUAGUUUACAACCUAAAAAUCAACAAUGAUUAACAUAGCACUACCUAAGAUGCACUACUUAAUCCACACUUAGCCCUAUCACACAACAACACCCUAUCAACUACAUAGACUAGCUAACACCGCAACCAAACCCCCUCACGCUGCCCGGACGCGUUUUCACGCGCCGCCACAGACGGCGGCGAGUGGGCCCCACGCGCCACCCUACAACUUCACAAUCUCAACAAACUUCCAACAUCAAACUUGAAGAUUACUACAAGGGGGACACUUUUCAUACUGAAGGUUUAACUAGUUCGGCCGGAAAUGGCCGGAAAUCACCGGAAACUCGUCAGAAAGUUUAGAAUCCACCACCGCACACUCCGCCGUGAGUCGCACUCCAUGGCCACCAGAAGUCGGACCAGGACGCCAAGGGGCUUCUAUCCCGACCGGUCUCCCGCCUUGUCGCCGCCGCCGGAGGUAGGAAUCCCGACCGGUCUCCAAGCCGAACUUCCAAGCUUCGGGUCACCACUUCAGGGCUGAAACGGCGCAAGUCACCACCACAGGGCAGCUCGAACGGAGGAGAGGAAGAGAACCCGACCGGUGCCGUCGUCUGGGUCGGCCGGAGUCGGCCGGAAAAGUCGGGUCGGGUCGCCGGGUCCGGGUCGGGUCAGCUGGGAAACUUUGAUACUGAAGGUAUCGAGAGAGAGAAGAAAAGAGAGAGGAGAAUGGGUUCCGAAAAAAAUGAAGGAGAACCCUAUAACUUCUCUUAUUUAACCCAAACAUCCCAUAAAGCCUCGAACUUCUGCUGACCAUAACUUCCACAUACGAAGUCCGUUCUACGUGUGCCACGUGUCUACGAACUCGUAUCGUUGUGCUCUACAGCUUCCGUGAAGGAAGUUUUCCGAGAAACCCAAUAGAUUAAAAAGUCAACUCUUGACCCUUCAAAAUAAAGCAUUUUCACGGAAAUAAAAACUCGACUACUUCUAGUCCACUCACUAAACCACAAAACUAUACAACUCUUACUUAAAUAAUUUCCAAAAUAAUAUUAAAAACUAACAUUAAAUUUCUGGGUAUUACAGGGGAGAAGAGGGAGAGUCCAGCGAGAGGUAGAGGAGAAGAGGGAGAGUUCGGCGAGUCGGGCGAGAGGCAGAGGAGAAGAGGGAAAGUCCGGCGAGAGGCAGAGGAGAAGAGGGAGAGUCGGGCGAGAGGCAAAUGAGAAAAGGGAGAGUCCGGCGAGAGGCAGAGGAGAAGAUGGAGAGUCCGAGUCGGGAGAAUUGGUGGAGAAACUGAGAAAGAGUGAAGGAACUCAAGGAAGUGUGGACUGUGGUUUUCGGCUGAAGAGUGAAGAACUAGGGUUUUUUUUUUUUUGUAUCAAAAUGACAUCGUUUUACCGUUGACCGUUGACUUUGGUUCAAACAGUUCAGUUCGGUUUUUAGAGGCCUGAAACCGAUAACCGAACCGAACAGAUCUGGUUCAGCCCGGUUUUUUUUUUCGGUGCGGUUUUUUCGGUUACGGUUUGGUUUUCGGUGCGGUUUUUUUCGGUUUUCGGUUUUGAAGUCACACCCCUAAUGUUGAUACCCGAAAAAUCAUGCAAUCAACUAGCACUUUGUAACGCGAUAAUUUGUCAUGAAAUUCAUGCAAUUUUAGGUUGAAUCCUUGAUUUAACCCGCCAAGCGAACAUGCCCAUGCAUUAAUGUGGGCCCAAGCCACAUACACACAUCAUUGGGGCUUGUAGAAGUGGGUAUAGUGUGGAAGGUUACAGAGACACAUAACGCUCGACGGUCGAUUUAAUGUUGUUAAGAAGUUUCGGUCUUGGGCCUGAAACUCAAGCCCGACGACUUAAGUCGGCGACGAAUCGGUGAAAAAACAUGAGAAUUAGACUGCUCAUCUUUUAAACCCAAAAUACCUUUGAAUCCAAAGCCCAACACCUUUUCUUUUACUUUUGUUUUAGAAAAGCCCAAACCCUCUUCUUUUUAGGAAAGACCUAAUCUCCUUUUGCAUUCCUAUUGCGGUAUUGCUGAACCAGAUACCACUUCCCUCUUUUCUCCCCGUAGCAGUGCGGCGACAGCUUUACACAACGGAGGAGUUCCUUGCACUCCUAAUCCGAAGAAGAAGAAGGUCUAUGACUGAUUCCAAAGCUGCCCCUUCAUCCUCAAAUGACGAGAUUGUGGGAUUCAAGCUACUUGGUCCGCCUCGUUCCAGGUUUUCCGUCUUCGCAGCCGCCCUUACAACGCCCCUACAGUAAAUCGUCUCUCCCAUUUCUCGAGGUUAGCUUCUCUUUUGCAGUUUUUGGGGCUAAAGUCAUAUGCCUGAGGAGAGCAAUCAUUUUGCCCAGCAGAAUGAAGCAUUGCAGUGCAUGGCAAAACCCACCAAUUCGGCUAUAUAAAAGGGAGGUUUGGGGAGCUGCAAAGGGAUCAAGCAACCAACCUAGAAAAAUCUCCAAACACUUAAGCUUUCAUGCCUUCAAACCUUCAGGCCAAAACCCCCUUCCCAGCCAUCCUUCAAUCCCUAUUCUUGAAGCCCAGAUUCAUCCACGCCAGCUCACGCUAAAAGCCUUUCCUUGAUUUUGAAUCAUGCAUAAAAUUAAUUCAGUGAUCCAAUUCUCUGAGUUAAUUUUGGCUUAGUUACUUCCAAAUAAAAAAGAACCUUCACACCAACACAAUUUGGAUACAUAAAAUAGAAUUAUAUAUUUAUGUAUUUUUAAUAAAUAAAAAAAUACUAAAAUAUGAGAUAAAUUAAUUACAUUACCAAAUAAUGUUCUAAAUUCAAUCUAUUAUAUAACCAUAAGAAAUAACAUUAAAGAGAGUCAAAUGAAAUGAUAAAAGUUCAUAACUAACAAUAUUAAAAAUAGCAGACCUCUAGCACCUAAAACAUAACAUUAUACAAAAACAAAAUGAGCAACAUGUUAAUUGCUUUUAAACUAGGUAGUAGCUUGCUUCAUAAAUUGGGUAGUAUCAUGGUUUCAAAACUGGGCAGUAACAACUAAGCAACCAACAUCCUCUAACACCUAAUAGACAAGAAGAUGAGCUAAUGGGAGGAGAGAAGAGAUCGAAUGGGCGACGUCUUCGUCUGCGUUGUUUCCUCUCUUUGUUUGUACCACUGCUCAUUUAGGUUUUUGUUUUUUGUUUUUUCCUUACGUGACGUGUUGUAAGAUGUUGUAGGGAGUCGAUCAACGUGUCGGAAAAAUCAACAUUUUCACGUGUUAGACCAUGUCAGACGCGUAUCGCCAUGUCAAAAAUGUCCGACACUCCACCCAUGUGAAGUGUCCGUGCAACAUAGUUGCGGAUGCAAGUGUUGAACUGAAAAGAAGAGAGGGAAACGAAAAGACAGAAGGAGAAGAUGAGAAAAACAAGGAGCGUCAAUUUAAUUCUUUAUUUAUAGAGUUUAUAUUACACGCUUGUGUUUUAGGGUGUUGAGCAGUUUUAAGUUAAAACCUCUUCAGCCGCAAAGCCUCCAGUGGCCCUCUUCAUCAUUUUCUCAGAGCCCUCUUGCCGUCUUCGAUCUACCUUCUCGCUUCAUCACUCCCUACUGUUCCGAUCAAUCUUGCAUCUUGUGAGUAUACAUCUGACUUACUGUUCGAUAUCUUUUCUUUUGGUUGAUUGAAGGCGCAGGGUUGAAAUUUGGGGCUUUCUUUUGUUUUUGUGAUUCUGAUAUUUGUUUGUGUUUGGUCAGAUUAUGUAAUUAUUAAUUCAUCAUCAAAAGUUUCAUUUUUUGUUUGUUUUAUUUAUACUUUGAUUAAGGUUUAGCAUCCCCUGAUCCAAUUCCUCUAGAACAAGGGAGAGACAAUACGCAAUCAAACCUGGAGUUGGAAGUUGGAAUUACUGUUUUCCUAAUACUAUUGGCCAAAUGAUAAUCUUUCCCUAAUACUAAUUGGAUAUGAAAUGGGGUCUUACUAUUCUUAUAAAUACAGAGGCCUGAAAGCUGUGGAUCCAUCUCACAGAGCUAACUGGAAGGGACAGACAACGGGCAGAGCAAAAUGUAUUCUUUUAUUUCCUCAUUGACUAGUCACUUUAGACAAAUGGAGGUGAUUACCGAAACUCUAGUCAUUUGCGCUUGCCUGGUAUUUGGUGGUGUGGUGAUUAAAAGAAAACUCCAUCGCAAACCUUGGGAGACACUACCUGACGAUGUCAUGGAGAUUAUUCUUCCUCACCUGUGCGUACGUGAUCGCAUACGCUUAAGCAUUGUUUGCAAACCAUGGAGCUCAGUUUCUAUGCGCUCAGACAUCCCUAGUGCUCCUCGACUCCCCUGGUUAAUACUCCCUCAAUCAUCCCCUAACUACUUGAGCUAUUUCGAGCUUUCUGAAGGCAAAAGUGGCCGGUUGGAACUGCCUGAACCUGUUCCAGGAGGUUGGUUUCAAGGAUCAUCAAAAGGUUGGAUGAUCAUGGUCAUGGAAAAGGAUCUGGAUUCUACUAUGUUUCUUGUGAAUCCAAUAUCAGGAGCGCAGCAGCAACUUCCACCUUUGAGCACGGCUCCAUGUUUCCAGAAGGAAGUAGAAACGGCCAGAUGGAAACGCUAUGGUGCUUCUGCUUUCUGCUUUAGCGUUGUGCUAUCUACCUCAGAUAUCACUUCUCAUCAAUUUAUGGUUGCAGCAACUUUUGGAGAGACUGAUAGACUGUGUUUGUAUAAACCGGGAGACAGAAAGUGGACUAUCUUGGAGGUCUUAGAUGCAAAUGAGUGCAUUACAGAUUUAUUGUUCUCUUCUGGCAAGCUAUAUGCCUUGGUUAUUAGUCAUAAUAAGAAUGGUGUCAUUUCAUCUCCUCGCAACUUAAAAUUUGGAGAUCAUGCAGUCGAACUAUGCCUUGGUUAUUAGUCAUAAUAAGAAUGGUGUCAUUUCAUCUCCUCGCAACUUAAAAUUUGGAGAUCAUGCAGUCGAACUGAAGCUGGUCUAUGACAAAAUACCAAGAAACAAUGACAGCUUUGAAGAAUAUGAUGACUAUCUAGUCCACCUAAAAGGGGCAACAGACUCACAUUUGGUAGAGUCAAACUACUGAUGAUGAAAUAUUUUUGGUCCAUCAAGUCCAAGAUAGAUUUGCAAAAUGGUAUGACGACAAUCAUGAGGAUGAUGCUGGCGGCAAUGGGGAGGAAGAGGAUGUUGAAGGUCGAGAUAAUGGUAAUCAUGAAGGCGCUAAUGAAGAAGACAACAUGGAAGGUAAUGAGGAUGGAGGUGAAGAGGUGAAUGAUAUUAGCUCAAAAAUCAUUACCGUUGAUGAAGAUGAUCAUGACCUUAAUUCAUAUUUGAGGACAAGUGAUUUUAAUGUAUACAAGCUUCAUCCAGAGAAAAGGAAGAUUGCUGGUGUAAGACGCUUGGGGGAUCAGCUGUUAUUUUUGUCAAGUGCAGGUGCAUUGUCCCUUCCUGCAACAGAUAUCAACAACCUAAAAGGAAAUUGCAUUUAUUUUGCAACUAAUAAUACCUUGAGUUUACAUCUGCGAACAUUUACAAGUCGAGAGAUUGGUGUAUUCAGCUUUGAUGGGAGAAAAAUUAAGCGUUCUUUCCCGAGCGUUCAUGUAUCAGUACGUUCUCGACUUAGUUGGUUUACUCCAAAUUUGUAGAUUUUCUUGUAUAUUAGCUUAAGAAUCUGUUUUCUAGAUGCAAUAAUCGUAAUGUAGCUCAUUACUGCUUUGGAGUUUUAGGUGGUGUUUCAUCAGGGGUUCCCUCUGUUGAACUGUUGUAUAAUACUACCAUAUCAUCAAUAAAGUUGUCAUUAUUAGAGAGAGUGACCAAGAGAGGGUGAGAUGAUAAUCGUCAUCUAAUCUUUUGUAAAUUUCUUUACUUCAACUGAAAUUUUUAGUGGUUCGGCCAAAUUUCACUCCUUUGUCAUGUGCUCCUUUUGCAUGAUUGGGGACUGAUUUGUAUUGUUUGUUGAUUCCUAUUAUAUACGAGGAUUUGAUUGGAUUACUUUAUCACUGUUGCAUAUCUAAACAUAUAGUUUCCUAGAUAUUCAAAUCCAGAAGGGGGGCCUGGACUAUUGUCAAAGGGGGACUUUGGUGACGAGCAGCUACUGCUGAUGCAUUCAUACCCAUGGAUAAAAGAAGAGCAUUUGGACUAGAGGUGACAUGUGAGUUGAAGCAGUUUUGCUUCAUUUUAGCAUUUGAGUUGGCUUCAUUUCGUCAUACUUAGUAAUCUCUUCAUGCAUAUUUGAAGCAGGUCUGUUCUUUUCAUACCACGUUGUUUCAUCAGGGACAGUCAUUUAACUAUCUAUUAUAGGCGCUGGCGCCGCCUUACUGUUCGCAUUCCGAACAGUGAUGGCCUGGUGUUUGGCCUGACGCGUUUGCCCUUUGUUCUCAUGCCUAUUUACCUCGGUUGCCUCCUUCCACGUGUAGAUGUCGUCUGCCGCAACGUAAUCACCCCGCCUCUUCACUCCUUUCUAUAAUCAUUUAAUUACCCAUGAACGAUUGCUGAGCCAAUUACCUCUCAAAAUCUCUACUUGAGAAAUUGCGAAAGAAGACAGUAGAGGAAAGAAAAGGGUUUCAAGUUUAGGUGCGAUUGAUUGGGUUUUGCUAUGAGGAAGAAGAGGACGAAUUUGUGGCUGGGUUAUUGAGUUUGUUUGGCAGCACAGGAAAGCUCAAACAACUUUUAAGAGAAGGUACCCUCCUUUUAAUCUAUAACAAAAGACUUGAUUUUCACAGGUUAGUAUAAUUUUUUCUUUGCUGCCUCAUUCUUCUUCUACCUGUUCUGUUGUUCUCUCUCGCUUUCUCCGCUCUCCUCUUUCCUCAAAUUUGAGAGACCCCUCUCUGCACGAUGUCGUCUUUGUGUACGUUUAUCUUCCAUUUAGACUGAUUUGGAGUUUCGAUUGUGAUAUUGGUUUCCAUGAGCAAGUAAAAGAGAGCCAAUUCUGGGUUAUUGAGUUUUUGAUGUGAGGAAGAGACUGGGCUGAGACAUGAGAAGAGAAAUCUGGGUAAGUGGUUAUGUACUUUUGCUUUUUUUCUAUUUUAGUUUCGUUUAAUUGCUAUUUGAUUGCUUGAUAUCUGAUUUGUGAUCAGCAAUGACAAGAAGGCCAUUCUUUGUUAUUCAGUCAACCUCGAGCUCUCCUGCUUUUCUUAAUGCAAGAAGGCCAUUUUUUGUUUUUGUUAUUUCUUUUCAACUAGCAAUGCAUACUGAGUUUAAAUGGAAUUCAAUGGAACAAUAAUUUCUUAGUAGCACAAAUGGAGUUCAAUGAAACAAUAAUUGCAUGGUUUUUGAUUUUAUAAACUUAUAUAAUUGGUUCUGAUUUUGUUUGUUUUAUCCUUUUUUAAGGUGUUGAAUGUCCAUCGACUUCAGUUGCAAACCAUGGGAACAAGGAGGUAAACUUUGUGCCUUCUUUAGUUGGUUUUUUCUUUUUGUGGAGUAUGGGAUUUAGUUUGAAUUUGAUUUCAAUUUGGUGUUGUGUUAAAUAGGGUUUCAAUUUUGAGGUAGUUUAAUCUCAUCAAAUAUUGCUGGUGUGUUCUGAAAUAAGUUUGAGUGUGGAUAAAUUAGGGGUUCAUUACCAUUCAGGCAGAUUAGAGAAAAAUGGAUUAACAAUCUAAGCCGUGAUAGUUUUCUUCUUCUUUUUUUUUUUCUUCUCCUGUAGGAUUUGGGGUUUGAGAUGAAUGGAAAUAUUCACAGCAGCCUCAUAUUUAGGAAGAAUACAGCUAAUAUGGUCUUGAAAGUUUGAAUUCGAUAACAUGGUAGGUAGAAACAACCGAGGAAAGAAAAGGGAAGCAACCAGACAUUUAUUUAGGAGGGUAAGCUCUAGAUAGGCUUGAAUAUUAGGUGUGAUUGAUUGAGUUUUAAAUUUCGAUCCAUCCAAAUCUGGGUUGUGGAAUUUUUUUUUUGUUUGGUUGAUUUUGGAUUUUGAUUGGCUCUACUGAUGGGGAUUUUUUAGUGGAUUUUGAUCAUUAUCUAUAAUUGCAAGUUGUUCUCUGUAUUCCCGAUCUUUAUCAGGGAACUCCAAAUCCAAAAUUUCAGAAUUUGAGAAUUGGUUUGAUGCCUUUUUGGAUUAAUAAUUUUCACUGAAAUUGAGAAAGUUAAUAUCCCAACAUUGAGUUUAAGAUGAUAUUGACAUGGGUUUAGAAGGGUAGACUUUAUUUCCAUGAAAAAGCGAAACGUUGUACUUCACUUUAUUUGCUCUAUUCUUCAGUGUUUUUGAUUGUUAUGAUUCUGUCAUAUUUGAUAUCUGCAACUGUUUUUUUUUUUCACCGUAAAAUGUGGUUUUGAAUUUCGUUGAGCGUCUUCCAUGUAAUGUUAAAAGUCUCCUAGAAUCAUCUUUAUAAUAUUAGGUAUCAGUUACCAUAUCUUCAGUCCCAUGGUUAGUGCUAAUAUGUUGGGUUUAUCUUUUUUUUUUUCUUUUCCUUUUCAGAUUGUACCCUGAAAAAAAGGUGGUAAUUCGAUUAAGAGUUGGUGAAAGUGUGCUUUUGUUUUGAUCAAUAGAGGGUUUCUCUCAGUUGAUUUUGAUUUAGUCCGUAAUCUAGUUAUAUAUAUUGCAUGUAUAUAUAAUUGACACAUUCCACUCUUAAUUACUUACUACUCAUCAUCAAAACUCAUUAGAAGUUCUAUUUUCGCCAUCAACUGCUUUUUGUAGAAAUUUUUCACUUAUCUGGAAACAACUGAUUUAUUAUUUGAAGAACAUUUAAAAAAUAGAAAAAUUGAUAAAUAUAUAUGUAUUUGCAUCGCAAUGUAUCUUAAUACUAAUUAUAUACUUCUUCAUAUUUCAAGACCAAAUAGUGUAUUGCAGAUAACAAAAUUGCUGGUGGCGGAUGCUUCUAUACUCAGCAUACUUCAAGCAAAUGAGGAAGAAGCUACAAAGCUAGCUCUGAAUCUGCCAGACUGAUAUGUUACAGGUAACACAAAACUAAAAUUUAUAUUACCAACUUAUAUUCACAUAUGAAUUGUCGACAGUCCUUCCUGUGUGUAUUUUAUGGAAUGGAUUUUGCUCUUCUGUAUGCAGUUUUACAUCUUGACCAAUAUAAGUAAUUCCCGGCAAAGGUUUAAAUGUUUGGAAGGUUAGAGACUUUAUAAUGUUGAAGCAGAUGGAAAAAGUGAAAAUGGGGUUUUUAUUAAAGAGACUUCUGCGGAAGUUCAAGUGUUUGAGAGGUUAGAGACCAAAGGAAUGAAGGAAAAAUAGGGAAUGUGGCAUUUACUUCUCUGCACAAUAUAUAAUUUUUGGCUUCCAUUUGUACUGGUGGUGAUGACUUAUAUUACAAUCAUGAUUCGUACUUGCCAACACUUUCCAAUCUAUUACUAUAGUUAUAAGAAUAUCAGUGUUUUGAAAGAAAACAAAAACAAAAAAAACAAAAGUACACCAUUUACAUUUACAGAGAGAUUUACACGCUAUGUGUUUUAUAUAAGAUUUCUAUCGCAGGUUCAUUCCUUGCAAAUGUUUAAUACAUUGAAAAUAAAAGAUAUGAGAAUGAAGUGAAUAUUUUGUUUUAUAUGUUCCCUCCUGAUUGCAGUUAUAAUAGCGAGGGCAAUUUCAUUUGUUAGUUUGACCAUGUACUUUAGAUUGGGUGUGGACUAAACAUAUCUAUUACUCCAUACUUGAACGUAAGAGUUGAAUUCCACAGUAUAUUAGAUCUCUUUCACAUUCGUCACACUUAAAUACUAGGGUUUAGAGUAGUUUACAUGACUACAUUAUUUUACUUUCUGUUGGACUACAUUUAAGCUUCCAGAAUAGUUUACAUUUAGUUUAUUAUGUCCUGUUAAUUUUGAGGUUAUGAAAUCGCAAUGCUUUCAACAAAUUUGCUGCUUAGUUUUACUUUUUCAGAUACUUUUUUAUUUUUUUUCAUUAUUAUCUUUUCUUUUUAGUCUUUGAGAAUGAAUGCAAUUAUUGUAUGGUAUAAUGCAUGGAAUCAUGAAGUUAACACUUCAAAAAAGAAGAAGAUAUGUACGUGUAUUUCAAACUGUCAUUGAUCACUUAUAGGAUUUGUAUUUCUAAAAUACUAUUUCAUGUUUGACUUUUUUCCUUUCUCGGAUGUUAUUACAUACACUAAUUUAUAUGACACAUUCACUGCUAAUCCUCAUCUAUUAUGAUAUGUACUGAAUGCCCAAUGCAGCAGAUCUCAGCACCAGAUGGCACAAUUGAAGGAAUCUAAUGUACUCUUAACCAGUGUCUUAAAAGCAACACCAGGUACUGACCAGUUAAGAACGUUGAUUUUUUGGAAAUAGUAAAUAACCAAGCUUGAUCAGUAUAUAUAUAUCACCUUAUGUCUAGCCUUUUUCAUAAGUUUUCAGUGUGCUUGCAAUUUUUAACAUCAACAGAGACUUGCAUACUUGAUCGAAAAUACAGAGGAAAAAUCCCCGCCACAACACACGGGCAACUUUGCUAGUAUUAUCAAGUCGUCUAGAAACAACUGUUUAUCUUGCCGAGGCUUUUGAGAGCACUUUCCAACUUUGAUCUUGGGGCAACAGGAGAGUGAUAUACUUUUGAUGUCAUAUGGAAGUCCUCUGUAUGACUGAACUUUCCCUCUUUUUGGAGAACUUCCUACAGCUUUGUUGGCUUCGUACUUCAUAACCUUUCUGUUGUUUGGUCAUAUAUCCAGAUAAUGAACCUUUUCUUCAUACCUUCAUUCUACAGGUUAAUUUUCAACAAUUCCCUUGCUGUAUGUAUGUUUAUAUAUUAAACAUAGAUUGAUGAGGUGUAUCAAAUUGCAGAUACACAAAUGAUUAGUUGAUGUUAUGAGCUUACAAGCAUUAGAUGCACAAGCAGCUGCGGUUGGCGCCCUCUAUAACCCAAAUAUGUAUUUGUUACUGAAAUGGGUUUUCUGUUUUAAUUUAUCAAAUUUUGAUCGACUGCUAAAAGUUAUAUAGGGGCUCCAUCCUGUUCCCAAAAUUUGCCAGGAAAGCUGCUAUGAUGUUAAAAAGCCUCGUGUUUGAACCACAGAACAGAGGAAUGCUGCUAGCUUAUGAGAAUGCAUUUGCAGAGGUACUAUUCUCAGAUGCCAAAUAUUCUAACAUCUUUGCCAGAAAACCAGAAUUUUGUAUGAACUGACGUCUGGACCAGACAAUGAAAUGGGAGCUGCCCGUGGUAUUUGGAGCAUGUACGAAGAACUAAUCCUCGUGAUGCGCCUCUAGUUACGUAUACUAGGUAAAUGGCCCGUGCGUUGCUGCGGGUUGAGAUCGCCUGUUGACAAUAUGUGUGAAAAGAACUGUUAUAUAAAAGUAUAUACAAAGGUAUCCGUAUGUUUGAAGAGAGCUCCAUAUAUAACAGAGGUAUAAUUGUAUUGUAAGUUGCAUUGCACUGAAUUUGGAUCUAUUUGAACCCUUGUUACAAAUAAUAGAACCAAUAUACGCAACACAUGUUAAUAUUGCAAAUCUGAGUUCUGCUGACACCAUUUCAGUGGACUUCAUUCUAACCCGUCAAAAUCCAUACAAAUUAAAGAAAAAAAAAAAAAACUAUCCUACUUGUUCACCAUGUUGUAUGGAGCUUAGAAAGAAUCUGGUUGUAGCCUCGGUUGUUUGCUAGUUUGCUACAACUGGGGAAACCAAGGCAAUACCAUGUUGAGCAGCAAUGCUUGUAAUCUUGGAAGCUGGUAUUCUGUGGUGAAAUCGAUAUACAGAUUUUGUUCAAAUAAUGUAUUACAUGAGGCUCUAAUCAAUGUAAAUCAAGAUAUGGUAUCAACAACUAUUCUUAGACAUGGCAUGUUGAUUAAAAAUAUUACCUUGUUUCUCUUCACACCAUGCAGAUUAAGAGCGCUUAUAGUGAUCCUUUCCAUCUCCUCUACAACAGGGGAUGCAGCAUUUGUAGCAGCACAGUCCUGAUAAUUGAAGGAUGAAAAGAUUUUUUGAAGCUGCAAUGACAGACAAUGUAUUACAAUUGGAAGAAGAAGAGCAUAACAUAAAAGCUAUUAUUUCCCUUAUUAUUUUAUGUACCUUGCCUUAUAAUCUUCUGUUUAAAUAAUAGGUAGAUUUAUAAAAAUGCAGGUACUCAUGCCACUUUCUAACAGAGUCUUACACUCUUACCUGAAUAGCAAAGCAAUUAAUUUAUUAAAUGUAUAUAAGUAUAGCGUUGUAGUUUUAAAAUUGAUAAUUGAACGGCAAUUUUCACACCUAAGUAUACCCUCAUUUUUGUGCUAGUGGAUACAACAACAACCGGAGGAUGUAAGAUAUUUAGACAGGCAACAUCAUAGUCAUUUGCAAGGUCCUUCCUACAUAGAGAGUAACCCAUAAUUAUUUACCGUUGUAAAACUUAUUAUCCAAUCACAAUACCUUGAUAAUAUCAUAAAUCAUGUUCCUUGUUUUUCCUAAUGCAUAGAGGAAUCUAUCAUAUGAACUUGGUAAUAUAAAGUAAUUUGCAAUUUCAGUUCAUCAUGAAUAAUUUUUUGAAACAGAUAAAUUACUGUAUGUUAUAAAUUCAAACUAUGAAAACAGUACAUUUACCUUAGAAAGGUAAUAUAAAAAGGUAUAACAGUCGAUAAAGCCAUAAUAUAACAAAUCAAACACAUAUAGUAACAAACUAAGGGAAAUAAAAAAGUAAUCUAUCAUCAAGUUAAAUAGACACAUAAAAGUGAAGACAUGGCCUUAAAUCUUGCAUACCUAGUGUUUUGCAUCUGGAUAUUACGCUUUGAUAAAAGUCUUCCAUCAAUGGUCGCUUCCUCUUUUGGCUGAAUCACUUUGAUGCGUCCAAUGACAUCUAGGAUGAUAGUAGUCCAAUACUAGAAUUUGUGCCCGCGCCUGGUGUAGGCGCGGUUGAUUAGGCUUCGAACUGUUUGGAAUGCUAUUAGUCUAGUGAUGAUGAUGAUAUAACGUAGAUAUAGAGGUAGUUGGUUCGAACUGUUUGGAAUGCUAUUAGUCUAGUGAUGAUGAUGAUAUAACGUAGAUAUAGAGGUAGUUGCUUUGAACAGUUUGGAAUGCUAUUAAUUUCUACAACAAUCAUUGUGUUAUCUGGUACAUAAGAUAUUUAGCAUAAUAUCAUACUGAAAAGUAAGUGAAAUUGAUAUAGAAAUAUGAAUGUAAAAAGAGCAUGGGUCGACUUGCAUGGGUUGUUUGGCUGCAGACAAUAUCAUGGUAACAGUCACCCGGAAAUUCAACCAUGUGAAGAAUGAGUUUUCUAAAAGCAUUAUAAGUAACUGGGAAAAUGACCCGAACGUGGAAAAUGCCUGAAAAUGUGACGUAACAUGUUGUAAAACAUUUAAAUAUUCUAGCUAUAUAUAUGAUUGUAGUUGUAUGUAUAAUUGUAAAGUAAUAGAAUCACAUUCCAAUGCUCCUAAUUUUAGGCAGAUAUCAAUGGAUAAAAGCAAUCGUCUACCAGCACUGACAAACAUGCAGAGAAAUGGAGUAAGGGCAAGGGAAAAAAAAUAAAAUCAAAUAGCGAAGUCCAGCCAUCACAUUCUUAAUCUCCCUUUCAACAGAAUGACCACCUUUUCCCCUCAAACAAUACCUAAGGCCAAAAUCAUGUAAUUUUCUACCGAAUGUUAUCCCACCACAAAACAUAAAUUUAAACACCUUGAUGUCAAUAUAAGUUGUUGUCCAGUAAAUGAGGCCGCAGUUACCAACUGAAAUAGGACUACUUACACAGCAAGUAGCAUACCAACAAACACAGCCACACAAAUCGAAAAUUCAUUACACAGGAAUAUCCUACAGGGAACGAAAUAUGAAAUGCAAAGAUCACAAAACAGAGGUCGUAGGAUCAUUCCCAAAAACAAAAAUCAUGUAAAAAACAAUCAUAGAACACAACUUGCAGAUAGAAUACCAACACAUACAACAGAUGGAUCGCAUCUUUUGGGAUCCUCAACAUGUAUAACCCAAUUUAUCAUUACGCAUAAACAAAAAAUGUCAUUGCACUGCACCACCAUAGCAGUUAAUAGGUACAAAAAGCUUUAGGUUCUAAUAAGCUCCUUUUGUCCUCAAUAAACAAUUGGAACACGACGUCGCUAUGCCUUCAUAGGACGAAUGCAUAAAGCAUGCUAGAAGAACAUCCCAGCUUGGAUUUUGUAGUCACAAAAUUUGGCGAAGAGAAAAAGCUGCUAGCUUUCUAGAUACACACAGACAGCAUCAGAUCAUGCAUAUAAUCACUCGCCAAUCAAAAAUUGUAGAAGAAAUUAUGCUAAACUUGUGAGAAGGUGUGUAUGCUUUAGUAUAAUAAGGAACCCGACACACUUGAGCAUAAAGAAUAAACUCACAUCAAACUCCAGCAAUGCUAACAAUCCAUUAACAGAACAAUUGUUAUAUUAAAGUACAAUGAUAUCACCCACUGCUGAAAAGAUAACAACAAAACUUUGGUACUACAUUCAAUAUUCGAAUGUGCUAGCAACUUCACAUGCAUCCCAUCUCUUUUCAUUUCAUUGUUAACCUUUUAUUUCCUACAAACCAUAACGAAAGCAUGGAUGAUAGCAAAAUAACUUAUUGAUGAACGCCGGACGUCAGAAACUCACCAUGGUUUAUCUAGCUUACCGAAGGAGUACAAACCUUCCGGAUCAGUAAUACACACAGAAGAAUUAUCGCACAAAAUUUCAAGUCAAAACGGAUCCUCAAAUCCUAAUCAAAUUCGAGUUCAAAACAGCAACACUGCAUAACACAUACACAGUUUCAGCAUACAGCACUCGAUUCCAGAAAAUCACCACAAAUUGCCUACCCUAUCAAAUAGUACCAAACUUUCCAGAUCAAGAGUUCACAUAUGGAAGAAAAAGAGUACAAAGUUUUAGAGCAAAUGGAGGUCUAAAUCUUGAUCAAAAUGGGACUCAAAAACAGCUGCACACAUAACAGAAAUACAAUUUCAGCACCACAUACAAAGUUUUAGAGCAAAUGGAGGUCUAAAUCUUGAUCAAAAUGGGACUCAAAAACAGCUGCACACAUAACAGAAAUACAAUUUCAGCACCACACUUAUCUUUUUAAAAAGAUGUAAAUAAUGGAAAACAAUGGAAAGUUGAAUAAACCUUGUACCAACAUUUGCUGCAUACCUAAAGGUAGAGUCGAUCUCAGUAGGAGUUGACCGUUCCCCAAAUCAACUAUGCUAGAAGCAGCCACGAAACCUAUCGAUUCUGUACCAUUCAAAACCACAGCACAGAAAGUAUAAUCAUUAUAAUUGUGACUACAAAUUCAUUCUCCCAAUUUUUAUUAUGUUGAAUCAGCAGGAAUAAUUUGCAGUUAAAAGACGACAACCUGUGCGAGAGUUAGUGCAGAACAGCAGAGUGAGCAACAACAACUGAAAUUUGAAGUAAAGAACAGUUUGCAUAAAACCUACAUGUCAGAACAAAUAAUAUGGGCUCAAUCAGAGAUAUAGUUACUGUUAUAAUUUUCUACAAACGCAAGACAUUUGGAUUUACUUGGUGAAUCUUAAUAUCAAUAUUAGUGUUUAGUAAUUUGAAAUUGAAGAUGUGGAUUAGGUCACUGAGGAUUCCUGGAAAUAUCUGAAGAUGAAAAUAAGCAAACCUAGUCUCAAUCGAAAUUGACUUGAAGAUGGCAAAACAUAAUGUAACUCAUCACGAAUAUUCAACUGUUAAGAAACAUGAACCAAACUGGUUACCUCCUACUUCUAUUUAGCUUAUUUUGCUGUCACAAAAACGGUUGUAACUAUACACUUUACUCAAUAUCAGUCAAUUUUAAAUAGAUGAAAGAACUGCAAAGUUGAAGACGGAGGCAGAACUGACUGUACAAUUUUACAAUGACAACCAUGAAUACAUUGUCAUGUAAUACACAGACGAUUAAAAUUUCUAUUCCUGCAACAACGGUUUCUUAGGAUCGCCGACAAAACCAAAGCGUCUGGGUUUACUUGAUCAAUCACAACAUAACAGGUAGGUAAGAAUUACAAAACAACUAUGAAACUAACAGGUAAAGAAAUUGACACAUUGGUAGUUUAGGCGAUUUUGUAGUAUAUGGUUACAUGAAUUCUAAAUAGUCAGAAUUAAUCAAAAAUGAAAUGCAAGCAUCCCCAACACCUAACCUAGAUCUAUAAACAGCUGCUAAAAUGGAAGCUCGUCUUUCUCUACUGCAGCAACUAUUGAUCGAUUAGCCAAAAUGAAAUUGAUAAUCAUAUAAUCAAUUGUCAUGAUACAAAAAUAUAGUAAUCACAUUUUAGUGAUCAACCAAAUCUAGGGGCGGAGAAAACAACUGUAAAACUGUUUGAUUCUAACCAAGCCUGGUAAUCAGCUGGAAUUCUUGAUGGUCUGGUUUACUUAGGUUAGUGAAGCUACUCACACAUAUAUUCUCAGAUCAUAUGGUAUCCAGUAUUGUGUUUGAAAAACUUUUCACAACAGCACCUAGAUACCAAUCGGAAUAACACCAAUUGAAAGCAGGGAAAAAAAAUAAUUUCUAGAACCGAACAAUACAUCCAACUAUCACCAAAUCUGCAAAACGGACAGAGUGACCUGAACCGAACCAAAAAUGAAAUUCUAUUAAGCAAAAAUUGGAGCACGCGUUGAUUUCAAAAUCCUUAACUUGUUACGAUAUUUGAUCUCAUACAUCAUACAGCUAAAAAACACCUCCUAUGAUUAUGCUAUUCACUUCUUAAAUACGGCAAGUAAAGAAGAUCAAUCACAUCCACAAAACCGAAAAGGAAAGUCUAACCUGUCAACACGGCGGGAUAAGAGAGAGCAAAGAUGUGUCGAUCGUUGGCAGCUGAAGAGAAGAUGAAGCAGGAAGGAAAAGAGAGAAGUGGACGGCGGGAUGGGUUUAGAGAAGAGGGAGGACAAAACUGUUAUUAAAGAGAAGAGGGAGGACGUAAAUGUAAUUGUUGAGAUUCGGUGGGUGAGAGGGACACGUGGCCUGCGUGGGUGAGAAGAUGCAGCAGCUGAAGACGUGGAACUGUGCAGGAGCAGGAAGAGAGCGGCUGUCUCACGAUGAACAGUGUGGGAACAGUGAAGCAGCUCACUCUGAAAUAGUAUAAUGUAAAUAUCAGAGGAUAAGCACAAUAAAAGUAUAUUAAUAUACAUAUACAUGCAAAUCUUAUUUUACAUCAUGUCAGCUUGGUUUGACUCAUGGUAAUACCAAAGAUAAAGUACGGAUAAUAUCUUACCUCACCAUUUAAAUACGCUCAAUGAGAGAGAGUAACACAUACAUGGUAACAUCGAACAACACAAUCUAGAACAUCAAAUGAUUAUAAUGUAUACUGGAAAUGUAGCCAAAUCAUUUUUCCCUGUCAAAAUCGUGUCAUCAUUUCUGCGUCCACGACAUUUGCACUCCCUGAUAAUAUCUAUCAAUACUUAGAUGCUUAGCUCUUUGUUUUCUUGUAUAAAAUGUCUCCAUAUGGAUAUAAACAAAACAACUAUCAGAUGAACAACUACAAACCUAACCACAACUGAUUACCAGGUAAGGGUAAUCAAAUGCAACUUGGUAAGGGUAAUCAGCUUGAAUUGUGUCUAUUGUCAUCAAAUUUGUAAACAGUUUAAAUAUCAUUUGGUUAGAAUACAUAAAGGGAUGCUUUCAUUAAAUAUUAUUAGGAAAGAUGAACAAAAGAAGCAACCGAACUUUAACUGAAAAAAUUAUGAAGUAUGUAGCUAUAAUGCAAGUCUAGUUGAUAUUGUACCUUUUUACUGCACAUAUGCUAAUAUGCUUCCGAAUCUCCACAUUCUUGUAGAGCUCGUUCAUGCGACCUUGAAUCUCCAUAACUGUAAAAGAUUGGUUGUGGUAAAUAGCAAGAUCAUUUACAUUCAUACAGACACAAUCAGAAUAGAGAUAUACUUAUAUUAUCCUUAAGGUUUUUUUUUUUUCCUUUUUAUCAAUUGAACGGACUACAACAACUAUGAACCAUUAAAACAUAGAAUUUUAGGUAAAAGAGAAAUCAGCUAAAAAAGAAUCACAUGUAGCUUGGAUGCCUCACAUGAUGACAGUUAUGACAGAUAUCAGUUCUUUAAGUCUUGUGUACAUCUCUAAAAACAACAUAUGCUCGCGCAUCAGCAGAUAUAAACACAGUACUCACCUGUUCCACUGUUGCCAAAUCUUUGCACAGAUUAAAAUCAUACGGUAAACCUUCAAGCUCAUUGGUUUUGGGAUCUUUCUGUUUGCACAUGAAAAAUCCAGACAAUACAUGAGCCCUCAAAUAACAACUAACAUCAACCACAUACUACAUGUAGACACUUAGCUACAAUGUUUCACAUAUCCGCCAUACAUAUAUAAACAGGAACUUUUCAAAUGAAAAAAAUAAAAAUAAAAAUCAAAUGAAGAUAGAAAAUCAGAAAAUCAUACAGGUAAACUACAACACUCACACAGAGACAAUAUCAAAGCACCUUUUGAAUUCAGAACAUCCAAUCUAGUAAUACUCAAAGUCAUACAAUGUUCUAUGUAGAACUUUUACAUAGAAUUAUAAAAUAGAAUUAUAUUAUGGCUUCCUGACUACACUUAUAUAUUCCCACUAAAAUUAAUAACCUUAACUCUGGUCUUUUAGCAUUAAUAAUCUUAACUCGCUUCAGGAAUUUUUAUAUGCCACAUUGAUCUAAAAUGCUUGCAUCAAUCUUUUUUUUAAUUUGUUUACACGUCAUUGCAUCAGAAGUUAACAUCAGUUAGGAUAACACAUAAAUAACAAUAAAGCAAAAUCCAUGUAAAAUACAAACCUGAAAAAGAAGGAAAAAGCUGCAAAUACAAAAUACAAACCUGAGUAAGGAGGAACAAUAAUGAAACAACUAUUCAGCAAAUAGAAGAACAGCAGCAGAAGAUUACGGUCAACAAAUCUGUACAUACAACCUGGAAAAAAAUAAAAUAAAAAAUCAAAAUCAAAAGAACUGACAUAAUCCUUCUAGCUCACCCAACCACUGCAUUCAUUGACAGUAAAAUAAUAAUCAACCUAAACAAAACUGCAUGAAAAAGAUGCAAUUAAAAGAUUAUGUUUGUAAAUAAGUAAACCGUUACUAAAAGAUGUAAUAAAGAUCUAAAUACAGAUGCAAUGCAAACGAUCUAAUAGUACGUUUUGCAAGAAACACAGUUUAAUAGAUACCAUCAAGUCCGAUAGUAUGCUUUGCAAUGCAAAAAAUCUAAUACAUACCACCAAGUCAAAAGUAAUGGACACAGCUAAUAAAGGAAUAGCCAGAUCUAAAAAUAAACUAAGUACACUUCCAAACCAAUUACGUAAUCAAACAAUUACAUAGUACACUUCAGCUUGACAAUUCUAUUCAAAUGGUUAUUUACCCACAAAUAGCAAAAAUGCUCAAAUGGAUAACUGCUAGACUUAAUAUACUCCUUAAGAGUGGCAAAAUGAGGAUAGAGGGAAUCACUAACCAAAUCAACAUUCCGUUCGGGGAAAAUAUCCUUUAAAGGAAUUGAGGAAGGUUCAUCUCUAAGCCUUUUGGAUGAGUGAGGGGAGGAGGUGGAAGCAACAUUCUUGCUUUUCCCGGAGUUAGCUCUUGGCAUCUUGGCAAAAGGAGUGAUGAUGAGUAUGAUACCUCUUGGAGAGAACCCAAAAGCUUCCCUAAACACCCCAACAACUAGCAACUAACAAUCUAAAGAGAGUGUUGACAACCCGCAAAGAAUUUGAGAAUUUUGGUUCAAUUCGGGUAGAGAUUGAAUGUGAGAGGGAGGUAGAAGAUUGAGUUUGAAUGGAGGAAGAGAGGGAGGGAGAAAGAAGAAAGAAAGAAGAGAAGAAGACGUGAAAAGAGAGAGAAGAAAAGAGAAAGAAGAGAAAAGAAUAAAAUUGGGUUUUGGGCCCGAAAAUUAAUUUUUUUUUUUUUUUUNNNNNNNNNNNNNNNNNNNNCUCUUGUUUUUUUUUUUUUUUUUCUUUCUGAAAUCACCUCAAAUUGAAAAUUUUCACUACAACAAUAAAAUAAAACAAGAAAAUGAAGGAUGCAAGUAAAUGUUUAAGAGAAACUCCCCCUUGAAGACUAUGAACUUCACCAUAAACACACUCAAUUGCUUCAAAAGUUCUCCUUCUCCUUCACCUUGCAUCAAACAUGGCUACCUCCAAGUAGGGCUUUGCUUUAAGUACAUCUUGCCGGUCCGUUGGCUCUUCAAAUCAAUGAAGAGGAACAAGUGGAGCAUCCAUGAAGUAAAGGGCCUCCUUUUCAUCUCCCACACUUGCUAGCAAAUAUGGCUUCAACCGGUGGCCAUUGACCUUGAAAAUGCUCCCAUCUCCUAAAUUCUUGAUCUCUAUCGCACCAUGGGGAAAGACUUGCACCACUUUAAAGGGGCCACUCCACCUUGAUCUAAGCUUUCCGGGAAACAAUUUGAGUUUUGAGUUGUAAAGAAGAACAACUUGUCCCUCGUAGAAUUGCUUCUUCACCAACUUCUUGUCAUGGUAGAGCUUGCUUCUUUCCUUAUACAACUUGGCAUUCUCAUAUGCCUCCAUCCGGAUUUCAUCAAGCUCACAUAAGUCAAGCUUCCUCUUCUCUCCCGCUUUGUCAAGAUCAAAAUUGAGCUUUUUGAUUGCCCAACUUGCUUUGUGCUCCAAUUCCACCGGCAAGUGACAUGCCUUACCAUACACCAACUGAUAAGGUGACAUAUCAAGUGGAGUCUUGUAUGCGGUCCGGUAAGCCCAUAAUGCAUCUCCAAGCUUGGUGCUCCAAUCUUUCCUUGUAAUCCCCACAACCUUCUCUAAAAUGCACUUGACCUCUCGGUUUGAGAUUUCAACUUGAACACUAGUUUGUGGAUGGUAGGGAGUUCCAACUUUGUGCUUAAUGUCAUACUUCUUGCAUAGAGCUUCAAAGUGUUUGUUGACAAAGUGAGAUCCUCCAUCACUUAUGAUGGCUCUUGGAGUGCCAAAUCUUUGAAAGAUGUGCUCCUUGAGGAAUUUAAGCACAACAUUGUGAUCAUUCUUGGGGCUUGCAAUGGCUUCCACCCAUUUAGAAACAUAAUCAACUCCAACAAGGAUGUAUUUGUUACCAUAAGAGCUUGGGAAUGGUCCCAUGAAGUCUAUGCCCCAACAAUCAAAAAUUUCCACUUCCAUGACGUUGGUGAGAGGCAUUUGAUUCCUUGAUGAAAUGUUUCCACUCCUUUGACAUCUAUCACAAGUACUCACAUAGGCAUAUGCAUCUUUGAAUAGAGUAGGCCAAUAGAAACCACAACUUAGUACCUUGAAUGCCGUCUUUUUCCCUCCAAAAUGGCCUCCACAAGCAAGUGUAUGGCAAUGAGAAAGAAUACUAGGAACCUCCUCUUGAGGUAUGCAUCUUCUCAAUAUUUGAUCCAUGCCGAACUUGAACAAAUAGGGGUCAUCCCACAAGUAAUGGUGUGCUUCCUUGAGGAACCUCUUUCUUCCUUGAUAAUCAAGCUCACUUGGAAUGCAGUUCCUGACACGACCCACCCCGAAUUUCACCUUGAAACCCGGAGUAAGUCGUGCGGGGACCACCUCCAAGGAAAAUUUACUAAAAAGAUGAAGAAAAUCUCCCUUGCAGAUGGACAACCCUAACUCGAAAAUUCCAUAUUACACUCUUAAUUCAACACUUCCAAACAUCACAUAAUUAUCCUUCAGAAAUUCUACACAUAAUAUACAAUAAUCCCAAAGUAUUCAGAGCUACUAAACACUAGCGGAAGCAAGAAAACACGAGUAGGUUGAACAGGUAACCUACUGACGAAAACUGGCAGAAAUGCGGGUGACUAUGCCUCGCCUCCUACUAGAUCCAACCCGAACUCUGCAGACUGGGCAAUUUAAACGAAGGGCCCAGGGGAAACAUUUAAUAACGUUAGAGUGAGUGGACAAAAAAUNNNNNNNNNNNNNNNNNNNNNNNNNNNNNNNNNNNNNNNNNNNNNNNNNNNNNNNNNNNNNNNNNNNNNNNNNNNNNNNNNNNNNNNNNNNNNNNNNNNNNNNNNNNNNNNNNNNNNNNNNNNNNNNNNNNNNNNNNNNNNNNNNNNNNNNNNNNNNNNNNNNNNNNNNNNNNNNNNNNNNNNNNNNNNNNNNNNNNNNNNNNNNNNNNNNNNNNNNNNNNNNNNNNNNNNNNNNNNNNNNNNNNNNNNNNNNNNNNNNNNNNNNNNNNNNNNNNNNNNNNNNNNNNUCACUUCUUGAGUAAACCAAUAUGUCAUCUAUGAAUACGAUCACGAAACGAUCAAGGUAUGGACUAAAUACCCUAUUCAUGAGAUCCAUGAAUGUCGCGGGUGCAUUAGUAAGUCCAAAUGGCAUCACCACAAACUCAUAAUGACCAUAUCGUGACCGAAAAGCAGUCUUGGCUAUGUCCCCCUCUCGGAUCCGCAACUGAUGAUAACCCGAUCUCAAAUCAAUCUUAGAGAAAACAGAGGCACCCCUCAGCUGAUCAAAUAAAUCAUCGAUCCGAGGCAACGGAUAUUUAUUCUUCACUGUGACCUGAUUCAACUUCCUAUAAUCAAUGCAUAGUCUCAUGGUGCCAUCUUUCUUCUUAACAAACAACACUGGAGCACCCCAUGGAGACAUGCUAGGGCGAAUAAAACCCUUAUCUACCAACUCCUGUAAUUGAAUCUUCAACUCUUUCAAUUCCGCUAGAGCCAUUCUGUAAGGUGCCUGAGAGAUAGGCAUAGUUCCGGGAAGUAAUUCUAUAGAGAAGUCUAUCUCCCUUGCAGGAGGCAAACCAGGCAACUCCUCAGGAAAAACAUCCGGAAACUCUCUUACUACAGGAAUAUCUUCUAAUCCCACAACUCCCAUACUUGUAUCCAUCACAUGAGCUAAAAAUGCCUGACAGCCUUUACUCAACAAUUUCCUUGCAGCAACAGCGGAAAUUAUGCAACUAAAAAUAACAUCUCUUUCCCCUUGGAAAGCCACCUCAAAACCAUCUGGACUUCGAAGCACCACAACUUUUUGAAAACAAUCUACCAUAGCUCUAUAUGCUUCCAAAAAGUCCAUUCCCAAGAUCACAUCAAACUCCACUAUAUCUAAAGGAAUUAAAUCAGCCUCGAAAUUAACUCAUUCCACUAAAACUUCACAGCCACUAAAUACCCAAUUUAUUCUCAUCACCUCAUCGGAGGGUAGAGACACAUGCCACUCGCCUGGAAGAGACGAUGAUGGCACAUUUGCAUGGAGGGCGAAUCGACUAGACAUGAAUGAAUGCGUGGCUCCGGGAUCAAUUAAAGUAAAAGCAGGCUGACCAAAAAUUAAUAACGUACCAAUGAUGACAUCUGGAGAAGUACGACCCUCUUGCUGGGUCAUACCAUGCAGUCUAGCGCGAGUCAUGGGACGUCCACGCUGAUCACUUUCCCGCUGAGAGCCACCUCUGACCGAAGCACUGCCCUGGGCACCACUACUAGAGCCUCCAGCUGAGGACUGACCAACAGGCUGAGUAGGGGUGGGAGUGGUCCUCUAAGCCAACAAUGGGCAAUCUCUCCUGAAGUGGUCCUGACCACCACACUCAAAGCACCCAGAAAACUGCUGCUGCUGCCCAUAUGAAAAAGUCUGGCUACCAGAUGACCCACCAUGGAAACUGCCACCCGAACCAUACUGCCCAGACUGCUGCCUACCCAACUGGCUCCUAGCAGGUCUCCUGUGACGUCUUCUAACCCUGAACCGAGAAUUAGAACCUGAUCCCCCACUACUGCCACUACCAGCUGAUGAACCUGAAGCGGAUGAUAAAGCAGCUUUCUUGGAUGGACCCUGACUGGGGCCACCAAAAUCUCGUGGCCGAGCACUAUAAAUCCCCAUAGACUCAAUGGCCAUGGCUGCAUGAACAGCAUCAGAGAAAGUCGGGUAAUAAACACCAGUCAUCUUAUCUGCAAACACUCCACCAAGAGCCCCAAUGAACAUCUCCAUCCUGGUCCUCUCAUCAGGAACCAGAUAUGACACAUGAUAGCUCAAGGAAGUGAAUCUCUCCUGGAACUCUAUAACACCCUCAUCAUCCCUCUUCUUCAUAUUCAGGAAAUCCGACUGAAUUCUGCUGCGGUGGGUAGGACUGAAAUACUGCCCCAAGAAAAGCGUCUUAAACUGUUCCCACGACAUAUUCAGCGCAUCCUCAACAUUCCUGCUAGCGAGCGACCACCAGUGAUGUGCUGAAUCAUCCAGGAAAGUCACUGCCAUCUUCACCUUCCUUUCUUCUGGCAAAUCUUUGCUCGCAAAAGCCUUUUCCAUUUUGUCCACCCAAGUAUAAGCAUCGAGGGGUCCCUUGGCACCCUUGAACUCUCUUGCUCCAGCCUCAUAAACCUCUCUCCUCUUCACUGUAUGAGGGUGUGGAGCUCGAUCCAUAACAUCCCUCAGCAUAUUUCCAAUAUCAUCAACCAGUCCCCUGACCUCAUUGCCCUCAUCGGCAUUGGUCGAAGUAGCCACACGGGGUUGCCGUGGGCGCCUAGGAGGCAUAGUACCUGAGGAAGAAGAAAUUUAGUAGUCCAUAAACAAGACUAACACAAUAAUCACAUAUACCCAAUAACACAUAGCAUCAAAAGCAUAAAAUGCCAAUGAAUCCGCCGCGGUCCGAUCAUCACUGUAUAGACACUACGUGCUACUUAGGCAAAUGUGAUAGUGACAAGGAAGCAGGAAAAGGAAACCUAUAGCUCUGAUACCAACUGACACGACCCACCCCGAAUUUCACCCUGAAACCCGGAGUAAGUCGUGCGGGGACCACCUCCAAGGAAAAUUUACUGAAAAGAUUAAGAAAAUCUCCCUUGCAGAUGGACAACCCUAACUCGAAAAUUCCAUAUUACACUCUUAAUUCAACACUUCCAAACAUCACAUAAUUAUCCUUCAGAAAUUCUACACAUAAUAUACAAUAAUCUCAAAGUAUUCAGAGCUACUAAACACUAGCGGAAGCAAGAAAACACGAGUAGGUUGAACAGGUAACCUACUGACGAAAACUGGCAGAAAUGCGGGUGACUAUGCCUCGCCUCCUACUAGAUCCAACCCGAACUCUGCAGACUGGGCAAUUUAAAACGAAGGGCACAGGGGAAAACAUUUAAUAACGUUAGAGUGAGUGGACAAAAAAUAAAAUAAUAAAUAAAAUAUUUAUGUUUCCCCAAAUUAAUAUUUAAGGAAAAAUUGAAUGCAUGCCGCAAGCGAUAAAACUUUUAUCUCAUAAAAUAUCGAGCCUCUCAGACUCUAUAAUAUAUGUAUGUAUUUACACUCGUCCAUACUCCCUAUAUAAAUUCAUGGGUCUAUAUAGGGCUACUACGCUCGUGUCCAACGCUCACGUCACGCCUUAAUGCGGUGCUACACUACGCCAUCAAGGUGGACAGACAGGUGUAUAAAUAUGUGUCCAUACCCCCUAUAUGAAUUAAACACUCAAAUAGGGCUACUACGCUCACGUCCAACACUCACGUCACACCAUAAUGCGGCUAUAUGCUACGCCAUUAAGGUGGACAGACACAUAUGGCUAGCUGGCAUUUAUAUACAUAUUCUCUCAUAAAUACAUAUUUAUAUCCACCGAAAAUCCCAUUUUCGGUAACUCUCCAAGAGAAAUAAAAAUCGUCAAAUUUAAAAUGACGUUAAAAUAUUCCGCAACAUUAAUUGUUCAACCAUGAACUAUAGCAUGCAUUUAUUUAAAAUAAACGUCCACUCACAAAUUAGGCCUAAGCCUGAUGUCGAUCGGGGCCUCGUCUGCUCGAGCCUCCUCACGUCCUGUUCCAAAUAUAAUAUUAAUUUCCCAACCAAUAAUCCAAUAUUUAAUCAAAAAUAGGCAAAAUUACCCGAGAGCCAUAAAUACGCUCAUCAUUGCCUAACUUCGAUAUUCUUAAAUCGGAACGAUCCGAACUUAAAUAUCAUACUCAACAGUCGUAAAUACAACCUCCCCAAAAUACGACUUAAAUCCUACGGCCGGAUUCUACAUUAAUUAACCGCCAAAAAUACCAAACUUCGGAAAUUCACAAACCUAUCCAAAUCUCAUCCAAAAAUUCCAUAAAUCACAUCANNNNNNNNNNNNNNNNNNNNGGGAAAAACGGGAGAGAAGAGAGGGAAAAGGGUUGGGCCUCUCCAACCGGUCCAACUCCCCCUUAUACCCAACUCCCACAAAAAUAAAAACACCCCGAAAAAAUAAUACCCGAAUAAAAAUUACCUUUUACUAGCUAAAAUUUACUAUUUUUACCGUCGUCGUAUUUUCCUCAUACGAAUAAUCCUCCGCACAUAAUCGUCCCCGAAACCCCUCUAGGGACCAAUUAACUAUUAACUCAAUGACGGAGACGGUAAAAUUCUUAUUAUAAUCAGGCUAGUAAAUAAGGUAAAAAUAUAAGGGUCGGGAUGUGACACUUCCCCUCACUUGCAUGGUAGUUCACCAGAUUAGCAAACCAUGGGAGCUCCUUAACAUUGAUGUUAAAUAAUUGCUCAUCCGGAAAAGUAUCUUUCAAAGGAAUGGAUGAGUCAUCACCUCCCUCAAUCAACCUUGACAAAUGAUCUGCCACUUGGUUCUCCUUCCCCGGCUUGUCCUUGAUCUCAAUAUCAAACUCUUGCAACAACAAGAUCCACCUUAUCAACCUUGGCUUAACCUCCUUCUUUGAUAAUAGAUACUUCAAAGCACUAUGAUCCGUGUGCACAACAACCUUGGUACCAAGCAAAUAGCUUCUAAACUUCUCAAGAGCAAAGAUAAUUGCUAGAAGUUCCUUCUCCGUUGUGGUGUAGUUAAUUUGUGCAUCAUUCAAAGUGCGGCUAGCAUAGUAAAUAGCACGAAGUACCUUAUCCUUCUUUUGAGCCAAGACCGCUCCCAUAGCAUAAUCCGAAGCAUCACACAUCAACUCAAAUGGAAGAGACCAAUCCGGUGCCAUCAUGAUAGGAGCUUGAGUGAGCAUUUCCUUUAUUUUCUCAAAUGCUUCCAUACAAUGCUCAUCAAACAUAAAAGAUGCAUCUUUGGCUAGCAAAUCACAAAGGGGCUUGGAGAUCUUGGAAAAAUCUUUGAUGUAUCUUCUAUAAAAACCGGCAUGUCCAAGAAAACUUCUAAUUCCUUUGACAUUGUGUGGAGGUGGGAGCUUGGAGAUGACAUCCACUUUGGCCUUGUCAACUUCUAUCCCUCUAGCACUAACCACAUACCCAAGAACAAUUCCUUCAUUCACCAUAAAGUGACACUUCUCCCAAUUCAAGACUAGGUUGCUCUCCUCACAUUUUUGAAGCACAAGCUCCAAAUGGUGAAGGCAUUGGUUAAAUGAAUCCCCAAACACACUAAAAUCAUCCAUGAACACCUCAAUAAACUUCUCCACCAUAUCACUAAAAAUGGUAAUCAUGCACCUUUGGAAAGUUGCCGGUGCAUUGCACAAACCAAAUGGCAUUCUCCUAUAAGCAAAUGUGCCAUAUGGACAAGUGAAUGUGGUCUUCUCUUGAUCCUCCGGUGCUAUGGGGAUUUGGUUGUAGCCACUAUACCCAUCAAGAAAGCAAUAAUACUCAUGGCUGGCAAGUCUCUCUAGCAUUUGAUCAAUGAAUGGCAAUGGAAAAUGAUCUUUCUUUGUGGCAUUAUUAAGCUUCCGGUAGUCAAUACACACUCUCCAUCCGCUUGCUACUCUUUGUGGGACAAGAUCUCCUUUGCCAUUGGCAACAACCGUCAUGCCACUCUUCUUGGAAACCACAUGAACCUGUGAUACCCACUUGGAAUCGGAAAUAGGGUAGAUAACACCAACAUCAAGCAACUUCAUGAUUUCCUUCCUCACAACUUCUUGCAUUAUAACAUUAAGCCUCCUUUGAGAAUCCCUCCUAGGCUUCAUGUCAUCUUCAAGAAGGAUCUUAUGCAUGCACAUACUCGGACUUAUGCCUUUGAUAUCGGCAAUAGUCCACCCAAUUGCCUCCUUAUGAUCGUUCAACACCCUAAGUAGCUUUUGUUCUUGCAAAUCACUCAAACAUGAAGAGAUGAUUACGGGUAACUUGUGGUUUUCACCAAUAAAAGCAUACUUCAAAUUAGAAGAAAGUGGUUUCAAUUCAAGAGUAGGAGGACACUUAAUUGAAGGAAGUAGAGGAGUAGGGUUAGUAAGAGGUACCUCAACUUUUGGUUGCAAAUGUGGAGUGCAUGGCCUUAAGGCCUCAAGUGUAAGCUCCGCUUCUUUUGUUGCCUCUUCAAUAAAUUCCAUACCAUGGUGAUGCAAACAUGUCUCCAAUGAAUCUUGAGAAGCAUUUUCAAUGAAAGUAUUCUCCACCAUCUUGUCAAUUCCAUCCAAAACAUCAAUCCGAAGACAAUCAUAGGCAUAUGAUGGCUUGCUCAUUGCAUCAAAGAUUCUAAAGGCAAUGGUAGUGUCAUGAACGGUCAUGGUUAUCAAACCCUCCUUCACAUCAAUCUUAGUACCGGCGGUUGCCAUAAAUGCUCUUCCAAGAAUGAUAGGCAACUCUUGUCAUGAAGAGGAGCCUCUUCCAUAUCUAGAAUGAUAAAGUCCGCCGGUAGGAUCAAAUCUUCUACCUUCACAAGAACAUCUUCCACAACCCCUCUUGGGUACUUAAGACUCCUAUCCGCCAUUUGCAAAGAGAUAGCAAUGGGAUGGAUUUCACCAAUGCCAAGAGACUCAUAAACACUAUAAGGCAUUAAGUUGAUACUAGCACCCAAAUCCAUCAAAGCUUUAUCAAAGAAAUUUUUACCUAUCUUGCAAGGAAUUGUGAAUGAACCCGGAUCUUUCAACUUGGAAGGAAGCUUUCUUUGCAAAACUGCACUAACUUCUUCACUUAAGCAUACUUUCUCAUUCUUCUCAAACUUCCUCUUGUGAGUACAAAGCUCCUUGAGAAACUUGGCAUAUGAAGGAAUGGUUUUGAUUGCAUCCAAGAGAGGGAUGUUAAUCUCCACCUUCCUAAAUAAGUCAAGAAACUCCUUCUUCACCUUCUCAUUCUUUUGUUUCAAUGCAUCAUUUCUUUGAAAUUGAGGAUAAGGAAGAGGAACUUCUUUCUCUUGAACUAUCUUCAUAGGAGGAUUGAAUUUGAUACCUCUUUUGAAUGAAGUUUCAUUUGAAGUAGAUGUAGAGGCUUCUUUGUCAUUAGUUCCGGCCUUGGCAUCAAAUUUGUUCUUCAAGGCGUCCUCUUGGACUUCAUCUUCUUCCAAAGCUACUCUCAAACCCAAAGGCUUGUCCUUCUCAUAUGCAUUCAUUUUCUCCUUCAAAGCUUCUUCUUCACCAUCAUUAAAACCCAAGAUGACUUCUCCAUGUGCCAACUCACUUGCUUUAUCCUUUGAUCUCUUUUCAAAACCGGGUGGCACCCUUGGAAUGACAUCUUCUUUAUUAGUAGGCAUGUACACAUUGUUCUCCACUUGUCUACCACUUCUCAAUGUAGUAAUGGCCUUGGCUUCAUGUCUUCGAUUAUUCUCCACUUGGCUUGGGAACACACCUUGCUUCCUUUGACUUAGCUCAUUAGCUAAUUGCCCCAUUUGUACCUCAAGCUUGCUCAUACCUUGGGUAAGGAUAUUGAUCUUCUCAUCUUGCUUUGCUUGAUUCCCAACAAAGGCCGCCAUCAUUUCUUCAAGAGUAGGUGUCUUCCUUGCUUCUUGAUUAGGCACUUGGGGUUGGUGUAGGGGUAGAGGAUGUUGAGGUGGUGCUUGAUAUGGUGGUCUUGGAGCAUGAUAGGCAUUGUUUCCUCCUUGAUUGUUGUAGUUUGAGGAGCUUGCACCUUGAUAGCCCCCACUAGGCCUUUGGAAACCUUGACCUUGCUCACGGUUUUGAUUUCCACCCCAUCCAACAUUAGGAUUGUUCCUCCAUCCAGGAUUGUAGCCAUUGCAAUAAGAGUCAUUUCUCGGCUUCAUUGAGUAACCAAGAAGAUUGCAUUGCUCUAUCAAUUCCGGGUACAUGUCACUUUGAGAACACUCCCUUGUGUCAUGAUAAGCACUUUCACAAAUCAAACAAACUUGCUCCAUAAAUUUGGCUCCCAUACUAGGCUCUCGAAUUUGGCUUUGAGGUCUUCCUUGUGCUUGUAGAAACAUGUCAAGCUUCUUUUGCAUCUCCCCUUCUAUCCUCUUCAACUCUUGUUGCAUUUGAAUAUUUGAGGCAUCAACAUUGUACAUCCCCUUUCUUGGCUCUAGCUCUUUCAUUGGCACUUGAGCACUCUUCACCAUCAUUGGUUUUCUAUCCGAGACACAAUCAUAGAGUUGAGAAGAUUCACUUAACUCAUCAAGAAUUCUUGUUGCUUCCUCUUCGGUCUUGUUCAUGAAGCAACCCCCACAAGCAUUAUCAACCCUCCUCCUAGAUUCUUGCGAGAGUCCGGUGUAGAAAGAACUUAGAACCGCUACUCUUGAGAGGCCAUGAUUAGGAACACCACAUUCUAGAUCCUUGAAUCUCUCCCAUGUCUCAUAGAAAGAAUCACUUGGUAGCUCCCGGAAAUUCAACAAAUCAUUCCUCAUUGAAUUAGACUUGUGUGGAGGAAAAUAGAAUUUGAGGAAGACUUUUUGCAUCUCUUCCCAAGUGUUGAUGCUUCUUGGAGGUAACUUGUAUUACCAUUUCUUGGCCUUGUCUUUCAAUGAAAAUGGAAAGAGCCGAAGGCGCAAAUUCCCUUCAUCAAUGCCUAAGAGUUGGACGGUUGAGCAUGCUUCAUUGAACUCUUGAAGAUGCAAGUAUGGCUCAUUGUUUGGUAACCCAAAGAAGAGAGGUAGAUUGGCAAUAGUUCCCGGCUUGAUGUCAAAGGCAACCGCACAUGGUGGAAGCACAAUGCAACUUGGAUGAUUGGAAAUUGUUGGCAAUGUGUACUUCUUCAUAGGGCGUGGUUCCUCUUCAUUUACGUCCCCCAUUUGUGGAUCCUCCUCGUUCGAUCUUCUCAAGAGUUUAGCUUCCAAACUUAAUGCUAUUCUCCUUAAUUCGUCUAGACUUUCCCUCGGUAUCCAAAUUCCUUCACUACUAUUCUCAAGAGUAUGGUCAAUGGAUGUUUCUUCACUUGGUGUACUUGAAGAUGAUGGAGUUGAAUAAGUUGGUUGUAUCACCGGGUCACUUGGACCUUCUUCAAGAUUCAUAAACACCUAUAAUGAUUCAAAGCACAGGUAAGAACACAAGUUGAAACUCAAAAAUAAAAAUAAAACUGAAACAGGGCAAAAGAUCGAUCUUUCAAAAUGAAGAGAUUGAUCUUUUCUAAUAUCAGUGGGUCUGUGCUCUAAAGAGAUCGAUCACUCAAACUUAGAGAUCGAUCUUUUUUUUCUGGAAAAAUUACAAAUGCACAGGAAAGAUCGAUCUUUAAAAUAAAAGAUCGAUCUUUUAGAGCUUAUUUCGGCUCUGUAACUCAAAAAGAUCGAUCUUUUACACGAAGAGAUCGAUCUUUUUCUGGAAAAACCAAAAAAACACACUAAAUUUACAAAUGGACAAGUAAAUUUCUAGCUUCCCUUAAAGGCAAACCGAGCUAGGAAUAGGAUUUCACUCCAAUCCCCGAUAACGGCGCCAAAAACUUGUUAGCCAAAAAACCACCCUCAAGUAUAAGGGCCAAGUUAUAGUGUAGGGAUUAUGAGUAAGGGAUAUCGUACCCAAGGGAUUGGUAAACCCACUCUAGCUAGGAAAACCUAAAGGAUGCUAAAAAUAUUAUGCAAAUGUACAAUCACAAACAAUGGCUCACAAGCGAACCAAAGUUCAUGGUGAAUAUAUGCAAGAUGAGGUAGAUUUGAUUUUUGGUUUUGAGAUGAUUUGAUUCGAAACUUGCUAAAUGUAAACUUGAAUUAUAAACUAUGCUAAACUAAAUUAGAUGUGAUGAAAUGGAUGGGAGUUGGGACUUAAGGUUUUCACCUCUAGCCUCCCUUGCAAACAAUGAUGUUUCUAGAGUAAAUGAUACCAUUUUAAUUAGCCAAUUUCUCUCAUUGCAUCCCUCUCGGGUAUGACAAGGGACAUUCUCCUUUGUUGAUAUCAAGCAACCCCUCUCGGAUGUAAUACUUAACUACCUAAGUCAUGCAUUUCAAUAUGAUUAGAAAUCUAAUGCAUUACCCUAAGUGCAUAAAGCUUGGAGAUGAAGAAAUCAUGCAAACCAACCAAGCUUAUCUCUAAGUGAUUGUAGUUCACAACUCUAACAUGCACAUAUGAUAUGCUAUCAUGCUUCAAACAACUAAGGUUAAUCAAGCCCUAAUUAUUUCUCAUGUCAUGGCAAACAAACAUACCCAAAUUGAUUAAGUUCAAGCAUGGAAGUUCAACUCUUGAUCUAGCAUAUUAAGGCGCUAAUGAAAAGUGCAUCAAACACAAUAUAUACAUCAAUGUCAUACAAGGUUGGCUAGGGCUUUCAACCCUAGCCCCAACAAACUAACUACUCACUCAUAAUCAAAUAUACAAGCUUCAAUAUGAUUAUGAACAUCAAACUAAAGAGUAAGGAAAGAAAAGUGACUAUGCUCAAGUUGAGGAGGAAUGGGAUGAACUCAUGGUAUCCUUGUGAUGGUGAUGAUGGAGGUGAUGGUGAUGGUGUCCUCAAAUGGUGCUAGCUCCUCUUCCUUCUCCUUGCUUGAUGAUAAAGGAUGGAAUAUAUGGAUGGAUGGCAAAAUGAUGAAGCUUUGUGUAUAUAAGAUGAGAUGGGUAGAAGGGAAAAGUGAGGUUAUGGUAUGAAGGUGGUGGAGAUGGAGGUUUUGUGGAGGAGUGGUGGUGGUUCUCUAAUGGAGAUUAGAGAGAGGAAAUGAGGUAGUGUGUGAAGUGGGAGAUGGUGUGUGAAAAAGUGGAGAAGAUAGACUUAAAUAAAGAUGGAUGAAAAGUGGGAGAGAAAACCAAAAACAGCUUUCUUCCUCUCCUCCCAUCCGUUUGAAACACUAAGGAAAGAGUGUUCAAAUUGCCAUAACUUUUCCAAAACCAAAGCAAAAGGUGAGGGGGGAGAUAGAGUAGGUUAAUAGGCAAUCAUGAAGAAAAGGGGUAGGAUAAUGUGGUGAUUCAACCUACAAAACAUGGAAGAUAAUUGUAGGGACUUUGAUGGACUUUUGGGUAAAAAGGGGGGAAGUGAGGAUUGUGUGGGAAAGAGGGAAAUGUGUUGGAGUUGAAUCCUAACCAAAAGGUUAAGAACUAGUUGUGAUUGAACAAGACUUCUCCACCUUUCCUUUUCCAUGAAAUUGGCCGGAAAAUAUAUGGCACCACCAAAAGUGGUGGUGCGCCGCCACUUGUGCCGCCAAAAGUGGUGAUGCUCGGAAAAUUGCCGGAAUUUCACCGUUUCUCUUCUCUUGUCAAUAUUUUCUACAAAACAUGGAAUUGGAUUAAUUGACAACAAAAUGGACUUUAGAACAAGUAAUUUUCAAGGAUUAGGACACAAAAUUAUCUAUGAAUUAUGAUCCAACAAUAACAUUUCAGUAAGAAAAUUGUUUCAUCAGCUCUCUUCCUACACAUAACUACACACCUCUCUUCCUACAACAUUGUUUCAGCAGCUGCUCGAGGUGAAUCUUAGAGGGCAAACCUUAGACAGGGAUUUCCAAACUGAAAUCGAGUUCAGUUUGUAAGACACUGUUUGAUAGAUCAGGCUAACAAUAGAUUAACAUCUGGAAAAUAGUAUGGAAGCUUCAAAUUCCAAUAGGCAGAAGAGAAAAUCACACUCACAAUUUCAAAGCUACAAUAUAGAAAAAUUUGAAAAACUCAAGAUCUGAAAACCCUUACAUAUGCUAACACUGAUCUCAUAUGUGGUCACCAAUUUGUAACCGAACAUAUAUAUAGAUCUUCCAGGACUACUUUGGGGCACUUCUUUUGAAUACAAUUUAGGUGUGCAGGUAAAUUUUCUUUCCUCAACACAUUAAAUAAAUAAAGAAUAUGAAACAAUAUAAGAAAGGAAACAUUUUUAGACAUGCCAAAGCUUUUAGCAUUGAUAAUCAUCUAGCACCACAUUAAGCACAAAUUUGUAAACACAAAAUCUAACCUGCAAUUUUAGCAGCAAAACCUUAUACUUUGAAUCUUCAACAUGUUCUUUCUCUUCAGCCUUUGUAGACUCUGAAAAGGUAAAAUAAAGGAAAUUAGCAUGUUGUUUUGGAAAUAUAUAGAAUAUAUAAUCAAAAGUAAGUAGUUACACAAUAAUAACAUCUUCAAACUGAAUAUAAUCAAAAGUAAGAUGCAAACAGAUGAAAGUUAAAUCAAUCAAAUACUGUCAAUAUAGAAAAGAAUUGCAACAAUCCACUGCUUGCACUUACCGAAAUGUGAUAUGUAGAGUUCCAAAUCAGUUAUGUGAUUGACUGUUUCACUUUCACCAGACCUAUAGAAAAAGAAGAAAAUAAACUGUAAAUACAGAAUACUAACCUGAAACCUCAUAUUUUCCUGGUGAGCAUGAUCUAUGCAAUCUCAUAGCUUUAGGGCUUUAAGAUGCAAGUAGUUCUGUUAUGUUUAGGAUAAUAGUUUCUAACGACUUUUGACAGCUUUUACAAUUUCUACGUUCUCUCGAUUUCAAUUCAAAUCAGGAUUGACACUUGACUCUUUUAGAAUUCCAACUGCACAAUGAACUAAUCAUACGCAAACUUAAAUUUUUUUUUAAAACUUUCUUUUCCAAAUCAAAAAGGGAAAACAACAAUCUAAACUACAUCAAAUAGUCACAUAUUAUUACCAACCGUAAACAAUAUCAAAUUGUUGGUGUGAAACUAAAAGCAAGAAGAAAGACUAUGCAAGGAGUGAGAAGAGGAGGUAUAGGUGAGGUCUAGGUGAUGAAGCAAAGGUGAGUAUUUACAGCUAUAUGCAAGUAGUUGAUAAUAUGCAUCGAUCAACUGCCAUCCCAAAUCAUACAAAACACAAUAAAUAAAAGCAAAAACAUAGAUAAAUAAUGAAGAUGAAGAUCAGUUUAAGAUAGACUCACCUACUCCAAUAUAUAACUCCCAAUUACAUAACUAUUUCUACCUGCAAACAUAGAAAGUCAAGAUCCAUUAAAUGAAUUAACUGGGGAAAUUGAAAGGAGAACCAACACAUGGGCUGAUACCUAUCAAGAUACCAAAACUUAACUAUUCCAUCUUAGACAUUAACAGUACGAAACAACCCAAAUACAGAAGGUGUAAUCAAUUCCAAACACAGAAAAUUAGAACCUGAACUCUACAGUUAUCCUUUCACAACAAUCAAAAUACCAUAUGACCAAAAAUAUGUGUAUCUGAGAGAAUAAGACCAUAACCACAACAAAAUAGCACUAACCUGGAUCUCGUAUUGGGCUCCCCUCUUCCUUUUUUUCUAAAUUCAGACCUCUUUUUCGUCUAUGGAAACCUAGAAAACAGAAGUUCGUAUUAGUCACAAUUGUUGAAGGAAAUAGAUAACAUCGACGUGAAAGAGUGAACAAAGUUUAUAGACUAUGCUAGGAUAACAUACGCUGGGAUGAUCAAUAUCAAUUGAUUUCUGCUUCUAUUUAAAGUAAUGAAAAAGGGGAAAAAAAAAAAAACUGAAUCGGAGGCCUAACCUGUAAAGGUCACUUCAGAGAUGAAACGGAAGCGGCGAUCUUUUCUGAAGCUUUAGGAGGCGGCGAGCGAGAGAUCAUUCGAGAAAUAUCAGGUGGGAGAGAAGCGGCGAGACUUCAAGACACUGGAGAGAUCGAUGGAAAAAGAGAGAGCAAAGGGUAGAGAAAAAGACGAAGAAUCAGAGAACAGAAGAAGAAGAAGAAGAAGAAGAGAGAUCAAAACAGCUUUCGAGAGAGAUCGAGAGAGAGUUCAAGAGUCCAAGUCCUCCGCUGCUCUUCUCUCUCACUUUUUCUAGGAGCUUCGUUGGCAAGAGCCCAAGCCCAAGCGAGACGCAGGCCCAAGCCCAACUGACACUGUUCUUCAGAACAGUAAGGCGGCGCCAGGCCGUAUAGUACUAGGAACUAGCUUUGUUUGCCCGCACGUUGCUGCGGGAAACAAUCAGAAUAUAAAAGUCGCAUAUGUUAUAAUGUCAGUGGAGCCAUUACAAAAACAAUAAUAGACAACAGUCUUGUGUACGUAGCACUAUAGAGUUGAUCUAGUCUUGGCACAUCUGAUUUCGCCUUGCAUCCUUUCUACAAAGUCAAUCAAACCAAAACAUAGAUUAUUACUUGUGUAACUUAGCAAUAUAUUAGCGAAAAGAAAAAAGAAAAAUGAGUAAUGUAAAAAUGACCACUUAGUUAUAUUUGUGACUGCAUGAUAUCCUCAACUCCUUCUCAUUCUUAACCAAAAAGAACAAAACUUCAAGGUAAUUACAUCAACAUUUACAAUAUAAUUCACAUAGUUGAAUUAGAUUCUCUUCCUUGCAAAGACACCCUUCAUACAUUUUUACACAACAUCCAAAAAAAAAUAGAACUUUGUGUGAUACCAAUAUUUUUGAAGGCACAUGCAUGAUACUUACUACCAUCAGAUAAUUCCUUUCUUAAAAUAUUUAACAUUUUCAGGUAAAAUGCAUUGGUCUGCCUAAUUUAUAACACUGAUUUCUUUCCACAUUUCUUUUAACUUUUUAGAAGAUAACAGUUCUGCGCCUAAACUAUUUCCUUGUCCAAAAACUUCUUUUGCAUCUGAUAUCCAUAUACUUGACAAUUUCAAUCUAUCCCACAUUGAAAAAUAUGAACAUAUCAUCAUCUCAUUUCCCACAUGCAAAGACAACUAAACAUCAUAUCUAGCAAACUUCUGUCAACUACAGAUGUUACCAUGUUCAGAUCCUAAGAUCAGCCACUUAUUUUUUUUUUUUUCCAGUUCUUACAAUCUAAUUUAUAGUCCAGGGCUACAGCUAUAGAUAGAAUGAACUCGAUAAAUUAUAAAUAUCACCAAGUCAAAACCAAUAGACACAGGGGAUAUAUAUCCAUCUUAGCCUGAAUUAGUGAUUGGAUACACUUUUGGGAUAAUUGAGGGGAAAGUGGAGAAUUUUAAAAACACAAUAAGAGAUAGUGUGGUACAUGAGAGCAGUUAAUAUAGAAUACCUGCUAAACAAUUUGGCUGCAAAAUUCCAAAUGACAGAGGUUUCCCGGUCAGCACUAACCUGUAAUACAUACAAAAUAGCUCUUCUUCACUAAAUAGCAUGAACAGUAGAGAAGAAAAAGAAAGAGAAUUCAAUACCAAAGAAAAAUAAUAACAGAACAUCAACUGAAAAGCAAAAUAAAAAAAAGGAAAUCCAAGGAGAUAGAAAGAAUUAUCAAGAGCCAAAGACAGACGCACCAACUAAAAACAAUAUCGUCCCUUGUAAUCUUCCCCAAAGCCUCAAUAUAUGAUAUUGUAACAACCACACAAAAAAAAAAAAACAAAAAUAAUAAUAGAGAAACUCGGAACAAAAACACACAGCCUCCAUAUAUAAUUACUCACCUCUUUUUAUAUCAUCUUUUUUUCAAUCCUCACCAUAACAGUUUAAUUAGGUUUAGUGCUGGCUUGUUGGACAUUCUAAAUACAAUUGGAUCAAUAAACCACAAUAGCCAAGGAAUAUACGUUCAUAGCUGCAGCAGAAGACCUACAUUUUAAUUAGAGAUUUUGAAAGACCAUCAAUGUUUGAUCAUUUGUAGUCCAGAGACCCUUCGCUCCCUUUGUCUCACCCUAUUUAUACUAUUUAGCCAGUACCUGAAAAUAUACACAUCAAGCAUCAUAAAUUGAAGUCAAUUCUCAAAGACUAAACCGUGGGAAUUUAAAUUAUUAGGCGGGAAUUGAAAUUAUAAGGAAAAGAAAGAGUAAGCAACUUUACAUACCACGAAGUAGAGUUUGAAGUUUUUCCCAUAAGUGAUUUCACAUAACAUCAGCAUUUAUUUGAAAUACCGAUUCCAAUUCAUUCCAAAAACUCCAUUGCCACCUGAAAGCAACAUGGAAAAUCAACUAACAUCAAUUUGUUGCCUAAAAUUGUAAAGGUAUGUUACUUUUAGUUUUUACAUAUACAAACUCAUUCAAGAUCUUUACUUAUACUCAUUCAUGUUGUACUUCAACUGAUGAAAUGAAGGAAACAAAAAUAACAGAAUCAGAAGAGGACCAAAAAAAUAAACUGUGCUAUUAAAAAAAAAAAACAAACUUUAGAUCUAAACCAAAUAACUUUUAUGGAAAGGAACAUAUAUGGAGAUAGAUGCUUAUUGCUCCAUUAGCUGUAUUAGUCGAUGGCUGAAACUUCCUCUUUCUUCCUUCUUUCUUUUUCUUACAGUUUUGAGUUGAUCUCUGAUUCUACUGGAAAACUCAUAAGAUAAAAAUUGUUUUUAGUCAGAGUGAAAGGAAGUUGAAUUUGCUGAUGUAAUUGAUAUCCACUUCUAACGAAGAAAAACUGAAAAUCACAUGCCUCUACCGGCGGUAGUUAUCAAACCAAUUGACUCAUCAAUCAAAAAUUUGAGUACCAACUAUUACCACCUUCAUUCUAUUCAUCCAACCCAAAUAAAUUUAAGAAACAAAAACGAAAAAGAAAGAAGAGAAAGAACUGCUUGGUGAGAGAAGCUGACAGCAAUAUACCUGAUCGGAUGAGAGAAACCUCAAAUGAUCACAGCCACUACCCACGCAAAACCAAAACCUUGCAAGAAAACAAAAAAUUUCAAUCCGAACCAAAUGACCAAACAUGCAAACCGAAAUUUUGAAAAAAGAAUUGGAUUCCGAAUCUCAAGGAAUGUUACUGAUAAGAAUAGACAACAUGUGGAUAAUAGGGUAACAAAUUCAAUGGUUAUAUUUAUCUGAAAAUCACCAAGAUCAUAUGUGGAAGCAACUUCACUAAACACAUGUUUCAGGCAACUCAAAAAAGGUAUAAUGCAAAUAUAAACAAAGGCUUGGUUUCCGCUUUGUAGCAUAUUCUUACACUUUGCUUGGCUAAUCAAGUAUCCCUUUUAUGCAAAAUUUCAAUGUAGAACUGUUCCCAAAAUCAUAAAUGGCAUCAACUUACUGCUAUUUCUUCUCAAACGAAUUGAUAAAAUCUAGCACUUUAGUAUCUUAUCACUAAUUAUAACAAUUUCACCAUGAGCUUAUUUACCUACGGAAAUAACUAAAUCUGAAAAACAUAAUCACAUAUAUGGAUCCUAAAACCACAAAAGAAAUAUAAAAAAGAUACCUUGAAUAUAAAUCAACAGGUCCUAAUCCAUAUGCAUGCUCUUAGCUCUGCCCAUUUGAGUUUUGUUUCUACAAAACCAAAAGUUAGAGAAUUGUAAUACACAGAAGUAUAUAGGUGCCAUAACCUGGAGAGAGAUGAGUUUAAAAGUGCAGAUAACAUCUUAGUUUUAAGAUGAAAAAAAAAUGAAUAAAGAAUGAGGAGGAAAGAUUAUAGACCAAUUGGUCUUAAAUUGAUGGAUCAGUAAUUGCAACCCACACAUUAUUUUCAUAAAUGAAAUCAAUUGAGUACAUGCAAGAAUUUAGAUUAACCAAAACUUAUGUCAUAGCAAAACUUAUUUCAAUGUGAAUGAAGACUUAACUGAAAUCAAGUUCACUGUCACUUAAAAAACAUAGACAUAUAUAUACAUAUAUACUUCAUUGUUUACUAUAAGUUUAUGGUGCCUCUACUCAUCUUGGCUAUUAAACUUGCCAAAACCCAAAACCAGCACCUCUAAUUUCCAGAACCCGAAGAACCCUACCCUCAAAACCCCUAAUAAACUAUCAAUGCCCUGCAAACCAAAAGGCAAUUUACAUGGACACCAAAUUCCUUCAGCACCAUUUAACAUCAGAGUUCAACAAUGAUAGAAUAAUAAAACAGUUCUCAUCAGUAAUCUUAACUAACAGUUCUUUGAAACUUCUAAAAGAUUUUUUUUUUUUUUUUAUUGGAAAGCUACUCGAAGUUCCCUUUUACUGUUCUUAACCAAAAAAAAAAAAAGUAAAAAUACCUCUCAGAAUGUCAGCACCUCGAUGUGCCAAUAACCAUGCCCAAAACCCCCACUGCAAGAGUAGAUUGACAAUGAUCAGUACGUACACGAAAUAAAUACACAAAAGUAGCAAAACAUCAAAUUCCUCUCUCCCAUUGUUUCUCCAAAGCAAAGACACAUUCGAGUAACUAAAGUAUUCCAGAAAGAGUAAUAAUUUUAAGAAAAAUAUCCAACCAAACUCACGGCUAGUUGAUAUCUGAAAAAGAAAACAACCAAUGAAAAGAAAAUAUAGAAUAUGAAAUUUUUUUUCCAAACACUAACUUUAGAUCGUUAAUACCAGCGUAGUAUCAAAUCACAAAUCCAAUUACAUUUAGAAAACCCAGAAGAGGGAGUAUAAAGAAAGAAAGCAGAAGCACAUGAAGGGUCGCAUUAAUACAGUUAAACCAAAAAAUAUAUGAAAGUAUACAUGAACUAAUGAAAGUAUAUGAUUACAGUUAAUAAGCUCAUACAGUUGAAACGGUAAAGUUAUUUCAAUUUUGGUUUGCUUCUCUUCUUCAUUGGCAAUAGGGAUUUGAAAAGAAACCAAUUUUGAAUUCAAUGGCAUCAACUAUGACAAACCAUCCAAUUUUGUUAUGAGUAUUUGAUACCUAGAACAUGAGAGGAGAAAACAAAAUACCUUUAUGAAAAAUUCAGCUGAUCCCUAACCUUCUUUUUUUGUCCGUGCCAAAUUACAACUCAAAGUAUUUCUAAUAUUUAAAGUUGUCAUGAACUAAGCAAUAGAUUUCCAUUGAGAUUGAGAAAUCAAAUUGAUAUGCACAGCCAUUUUGGCCAUUUGUAGAAUAGAUGAGAGUGUUACUCUUAUGAUUAAGGAUUAAACUGUAUCAUUACAGGAUCAUAACAACAUAUCUACUUGAAAUCAAUCACCCAAGGAUCGCUAUACUCCUGAAAAAUUCUAACAUGGAAGAAAAACAAACCAAUUCAGAUGAAUAUGAAAAUCAAUGGAAACGAAGCUUGAAAAUUUGCAUAUAACAAUAAAGAAGUCAUACCUAACCCAAUAUGAUAACGUUUUUCUCCUCCUUUUGGGUUUGAUCCUCCUUUUGUUAUUGUUUCUGUAAACAUCAAUUGGUCCAUAAACCAAUCACUAGAACCCAAUUGCAGCACUAAAUCCCCAAACACUAGAACCCAAAAAACACCCAUAAACUAAAAUCGUAAAAACAGAAAUCUUUUAGCGGCUAAAAACCGAUGGCUCCCACCUCGGCCAAUAAGAUUUCAAGAAAUGAGGCAUAUACAUAUUCAGUGGAGGAGUAAUGAAUCGAAGCAAAAAGUUUUAAACGAAUGAGUGAGUCUGGGAGUGAUAGACAUACCAGUUUGUGUCUAUAAUCUGAAAAUCGAUUACCCAUAGCAGAAGAAGCACCUUUCUUGGUGUUGAUAAAAUCUCCCUUCAGAGCUUUGUUGGGUACUCGACCGAAAGCACCACCUCUGCUCUCCCUCGCUCUCUCCAUCUUUCUCUGAUCUGGCAUGCAACGAAACCAAAACGAAAGGAACUCAUAAGCCCAUAAGAAUCCCCACAUAGAAAAAGCAAAAUUUCAGAGAAGAGGAAGCUUACCCAAACCUGAAUUCAUCAAAAACCCAGGAUGCUUAGCCAAACUAUCUCUUUCAGUCUCUGGUCUCCCUCACUCUUUCAGUCUGGUGUACGUUCGACUUUACCAAAAUAGAGGAAAUAGAGAGAGCAAAGGAUAAGAGAGGGAAAAAAAGGAGAAGGAGUCCAAGCUCUUCCAGAGGUGUGCCGAGCGAGAGAUGAAAAAAGUGACGAAAGAGAGGGAAGGCGAGCUUGAGAUCUGGCUGAAUCUCUUGAUAGAGAUGAUUCGGUGGUGUCAAGAGAGAUCGAAAGAGAGGAAGAAAGAUGGAAGUGGCUGAAUGAGAUCGAGAGAGGUCGAGAAAGAGAUAUACAGAGCGGCGAGAGAGGUCGAGAGAGAUCGAGAGAGAGAUAUAUCAAGGCCCAACACCAGGCCAUCACAGCGAGAUGCAGCCCAAGCCCGCCCGAAACCGCACUGUUCUUCAGAACAGUGCGGCGGCGCCAGGCCGCAUAAUAUAUAGUUAAAAGUUAAAUUAGUCCGCGCGUUGCAGCGGGUUGGAUAUCAAAUAAAGUAAUUUUGAAAGUAAUCUAAAAAUCUUGCUUGUAGACAUGAGUCAAUAAUUUCAAUAUAUUACAUUACCAUCCACCAUGAUAAUUGUUCAAAAAAUCUAGCUAACUGAAAAAUUUGUUAAGAGAAAGGACCAAAAUAGCUGGUCACCAGGACAUAGAAUCCAGCACUAAGAGGAAGCUGCCCAAUUUCUCUAGAUGCUGAUAUCUAAUGCUGCAGAGUAGCACUUUAAACACUCUUCCUCCUAUUGUUCCUAAAUGCUGAGCUCCAAACAUUGCACAGAACAGAGAUUCAUUGUUAACUCUUCGAGUGAUCUUUAGGCUGUCAAGCACUCAGUCCUGGAUGGCUUGAAGAGACUAUGAAGAUCAUUAAGCCAUAGAAACUUGUUUCUUCCCCUUUUUACUUCGACCGGCCAUAUCCUCUCCUCCCUUUAUCUUUCUAGAGAGGGACAUCAGCUUGUUUUGUGUUACCCUCUAAAUUGAGGCUCUUAAUAAAAUCCUCAAUGCUACGCCAAUUAGUGACCCCUCCUUUGUCCAUUAUUUUACACAAAAUUGAGUAUGCAUUUAGUCUUUCUUGAUUCUAAGAGAGCAUCCAACAUCUUAUCAUAGCUUUUGAAAUCUACCAUGCAAUCUCGCUCAAGGCAAAAAUCUAAUAGCUUAACAGCUGCAAUGGUCUUUCCUUUUUCAGCAAGAAUGGAUAAGAGGCUAUCAAACUCAGAUGCACAUCCACUUUGCAUAAGUAGAUUAAUCCGUCCAAGCACUUCCUCAACAUGACCUCGGAUAAAGAGGUCUUCCAAAAUCUUGGCAACUAAAUCCAAAACCCCCAAAUCAUAUGACAAUCAAUGUACUAAUCCUAAGGUAGUCCUAUACAAUUAUAAGUAUAUACAGUAUCAAUAGUAUAUACAUAAUAAAAGUUCUACAAUCUAAAAGUUAUUAUCUCAUAAUAAUGAACUUUUAAAGUUUCUGUUCUUAUUAGUUUGACAGCAGCUUCAUUCAAACGAUACUAUUUUCUGAGAAUAAAAUCAUAUUGCUUCUACUGAUACUAAUAGUUCCCUCAAAGCAUAAUCUAUAACCAACUAUUGAGAGAAUAAUCAGUGAGUACUGAUUGUUAUGAUUCACUACUUUCACGUAACUCAAACUCGAUCAAUGUCCACAUAUAUUGUGUUUGUUCUCUUCAUUUUCAGUUUAGCUUUCAUAAACAGUGGUGAUCAAUUUGGAAAACUUACCAAUUAACAGAGAGGGGUCAGCCAAAACCAAGAAAAAAAGGAUCUUACAUUGAAAUUGAUGCAAGAUUAGUGUAGGAAAAGCUGGGAAUCCUGAAAUAAGAUGAAGACCAGAUAUGAAAAAACCCAAAAAGCUUCAAUCCUUACACAAUCCAAACCCAAAUUAUCCGAUCUGAGAACCCAGACAACCAAGCAAGAAUCAAAAUUCAAAAUCGCGAAAGUCCAAUCAAAUCCGGCCAGACAUGAAUUUGGAAGCCAAACCUUUUGUUGUGCGAAUAGGGAAACAAAAAGUUAAAUCACAAAAGACACGUGUUAAAUUUUUCCAUUGUAAUAUGCUCUACUAUUAGUCAGCUACAUGUUGAUUAUUGUUCAAUAAUAGUGAGAGCCUUCAACUCUUCUCAAUAAGUAUGCCUAUCAGAAAUCACAUAACUAACGUAAUUAAGUUUUGGCAAGUAGUUGUAUGGAGCAGUAAAUAGUCACACCCAAACACACAAAACACUGAUUAGCUAUACACAUGAAUAUCAACUAAACAGAUUACCUAUUUAUGAAGACCUUGAACCUCAUAUUAGUAAAGCAAAGAAGCAAAUAAGCAAAGAAAAAGAAAACCUUAGAUUAAUAAAACCGGUGAAAAGCUGGGGAAAAGAAAACCAAACUGAAAUAACUAUGUCAGUCAUAGCAAAAGCAGUCAAUAUUAGAGCCGAAGCCACAGAGUUGUAAGAUGUUGUUUAUAGAACACUAAUAUUCAUACGCCAAGAAAAGAAACCCCUAAAGCAAUAAACAGUAGGAUGUGAACAACAAGCCCAACACGCAGCCCAACACUGUAGGAUGUGAACAGUAAAAACCCUGUAGAAAGUAAACAGUAACCGACUCGACGGAAAAUAGAUAUAUAGUAAAUUUAGUUAAAUUUAUAUUUACUCUAACGUAAAGUAGGAACAAGCCUCCCCAGUGUUCAUAAGGGACCUGGAACUUACCUCUUCCUCCCUGUUUCCAGUUCAAUCACGAAUUUGCCACUGCUCCUCUUUUCUCCCGCUCUCUCUAGGCUCUUCGUUGGCUGCAAUUCAUCCAUAUCUGCAUGUCACGCCCCGAAUCUUAAUUUUUACCUUUAUUACUGGCAUAGUGAUAACAAGAGUUUUUACUGUGUUCGUCACUAAGUGUGUAAUUUAAUUAGUUCCCAAAGGGUGUUGAGGGACUAAUAUUUUGAGGGAAUUAUUCUAAGGAAGAAUUUUUUACGACGGUAAAAAAUAGUAAUUUUUGUUAGUAAAAGGUAAUUUUAUUGGGGUAUUAUUUCGGGGUGUUGAAUUUUGGAAUUUUGGGUUAAAAGGAGUGUUGGGUCGGCUGGGCCGAGCCCAACCCAUUUCUUCUUCUUUUCUUUUUCUCUCUCCCUCCCGAUUUUCUCUCUUCCCACCCGGUUUUCUCCUCUCUCCACCCGGAAAUUUCUCCACCGCCGUCCGCCGCCAUCCGGCCGCCCCAGACCGCCGCACCGGUCCCAAUCGAUCGGUCUUCAACCCAGCAACCUUCUUGGACCGGUGACAGCUCCCCCUANNNNNNNNNNNNNNNNNNNNNNNNNNNNNNNNNNNNNNNNNNNNNNNNNNNNNNNNNNNNNNNNNNNNNNNNNNNNNNNNNNNNNNNNNNNNNNNNNNNNNNNNNNNNNNNNNNNNNNNNNNNNNNNNNNNNNNNNNNNNNNNNNNNNNNNNNNNNNNNNNNNNNNNNNNNNNNNNNNNNNNNNNNNNNNNNNNNNNNNNNNNNNNNNNNNNNNNNNNNNNNNNNNNNNNNNNNNNNNNNNNNNNNNNNNNNNNNNNNNNNNNNNNNNNNNNNNNNNNNNNNNNNNNNNNNNNNNNNNNNNNNNNNNNNNNNNNNNNNNNNNNNNNNNNNNNNNNNNNNNNNNNNNNNNNNNNNNNNNNNNNNNNNNNNNNNNNNNNNNNNNNNNNNNNNNNNNNNNNNNNNNNNNNNNNNNNNNNNNNNNNNNNNNNNNNNNNNNNNNNNNNNNNNNNNNNNNNNNNNNNNNNNNNNNNNNNNNNNNNNNNNNNNNNNNNNNNNNNNNNUGGUGUGACGUGAGCGUUGGACGUAAGCGUAGUAGCCUAUUGAGUGUUUAAUUCAUAUAGGGGGUAUGGACACAUAUUUAUACACCCGUCUGUCCACCUUGAUGGCGUAGUGUAGCACCGCAUUAAGGCGUGACGUGAGCGUUGGACGCGAGCGUAGUAGCCCUAUAUAGACCCAUGAAUUUAUAUAGGGAGUAUGGACGAGUGUAAAUACAUACAUAUAUUAUAGAGUCUGAGAGGCUCGAUAUUUUAUGGGAUAAAAGUUUAUCGCUUGCGGCAUGCAUUCGAUUUUUCCUUAGAAAUUAAUUUGGGGAAACAUAAAUAUUUUAUUUAUUAUUUUAUUUUUGUCCACUCACUCUAACGUUAUUAAAUGUUUUCCCCUGGGCCCUUCGUUUUAAAUUGCCCAGUCUGCAGAAUUCGGGUUGGAUCUAGUAGGAGACGAGGCAUAGUCACCCGCAUUUCUGCCAGUUUUCGCCAGUAGGUUACCUGUUCAACCUACUCGUGUUUUCUUGCUUCCGCUUGUGUUUAGUAGCUCUGAAUACUUUAGAAUUUUUGUAUAUUAUGUGUUAAAUUAAGAGUGUAAUAUGAAAUUUUCGAGUUAGGGUUGUCCAUCUGCAAGGGAGAUUUUCUUAAUCUUUUCAGUAAAUUUUCCUUGGAGGUGGUCCCCGCACGACUUACUCUGGGUUUCAGGGUGAAAUUCGGGGUGGGUCGUGUCACUGCAAGCCGCUACUUAUUGAAUAGCAAUAUGCUAACGAAAACCGAUGAGAUCACAUCGGGAAGAGGUCGCCGCAUUCCACCCGUUCAUCUCCUAAGCACCCACCUCAUUGUUGGUCGGUCGCGUGUCUUCCUCACAGAGACAGCGAGGAGAUUUGUUCCUUACCUAUCUUUUGGCUUUGCUUAUUUGCUCGGCACAGAAACAUCACAUGUAAUUCUAUUCUUCACAAUUUCACUCAUCUCUCUCUCUUCGCUCUUCCUUGGUCGUUUUUGUUAACCUUGAAUCGUUUCAUUCUCCGUCUCGGUGAGUGUUCAAUUCGCCUAACGCCCGCUGCUAGGCGCGUGACUAAAGAGAUCCAAAACCCGCGGCUAGGCGGGUUUACAGGUUGGGAUUGUGAUUUUGUUUUUUGAUUUUUCAUUAGUUUGUUUAAUUCCGAUUCUUAUCAUUGGUUUUCAAUGGAUUGCAUGUCUUUGUUUUCUUCAGGGAUCAUAAGUGUUGACAGGUUAGGAGUUCCGGUGACGUCCAUCCUUUUGGUCAUCGCCUCAUCGGUAUGUCCAUCUCUUUUGGGAUUUGUUUGUUUAGGGAGGGCUCAGUACAGUUUUGGUGGUACCAGAAAUUUCUGAGUUAACAGAAGGGAAUGCAUGUUUGUGUUGUAUACAAGAACACAGUAGUCUAAGACAAUGGGUGAAGAACAAGGAUUUUUUUUUGUAUUAUUAUGUACUGAUGAUCAUUUUGUUACGUACUUUGGGCUCUAAUUGUAGUUCCCUGGAUGCUCUUUCCAAAACCUUUCAUUUUGAGGAAGCUUCAUAUAGAGGUACUGUGGUAUAAUUUACUCAUCAUUUGUUUCAUAGUUCUAAGAAAACCAGUAAAGGGAUGAAACACAUAAAAACUUUAAAAAGAAGUUUGUUUUCAUUGUAAAUAUUGAAACAUAAAUAGAAUAUUUGUAGUCAGUAUCCCAAAUUGUUUUGCGGACUCAGCUUAGGUUAUUUAGUAUUUUACUACAUAAGCUAUUUGACCGGACGCAUCAGAAGCUUGGGAGGAUAGUAUUAGUUUGCUUACCUGUUAUUUUUCAGAGGUUUCAAGGUUGGUGCCUCAGAAAAAGAUCGUGACGUGGAAACUGAUCAUGCGAGGCAACAUCAUCGGAACUUUAAUUUCAGUGAGGUGUUUGUGCACCAGAUGAUACAGUCUAUAGAGUUUGUUCUAGCUUGGUGCAAUUUCAAAUACACAUCUUGCCUUCAAUUAUAGGCUGAUCUGAUCAGGGAGGAACUCUCAUCGCUGCUAGCUGAAGGAAAGCUGCUCAAGUUGAUGUUCUCUUACAUGAGCUCUAAAUCGAGUAAUUGAUUCCUAUUAAGUGGAUUAUUUUAUGAUGGUUUUUGUUUUUUUAAUUGGGUUUUGUUUAUUUUCUCUUCAAUUUGAUUUUCAAAUAGCUCUUUAGUUUUACUUUCUCGGAAACAUUUUUCCUUUCAUUAUUAUUAUCUUCUCUUUUUAGAGUCUUGGGUGUUGGAUGGUUGGUUUGCCUGAUAUUUGCGUUUGGUUUAUUAUGCAGGAAAUGUCUAUUUUGCUGUGAAUGAAUUUUGGGAGGUUAAGAAAUUGUUGUGCUUGAAGAUUGCAAACAAAAAUUUAUUUUGUUUCUCUCUGAGUUUGUUUUGGCUGGUUCUGUGGGAAUGUAUUGUUUCGAUAGCUUUGUAAUGUGGUUUUUAUUGUUUGGUUCAAUUAGUUGCCCUGCCGUGGUUCGAUUGAAGUUUGCAGAAAUCCAAUAGGCAUAUUACUUUAUUUGUAUAUGUAAUUAAGAUAGGCCUGCUCAUGUAUUUUAUUCAAGAUAUUGUGAUGAAGCUAAUGUAGUUAUUUAAUUUAAUGUAGCCGUUAUUUAAUUUUAUUGCUUUGCCAACUUUUAUUGAUUUUUCAUGGUGCUUCAGGUGGCAAUAGAAUUAUUGGAAAGAGAUCGAUUUGUGGAAGCAUUUACGCAGGUAAAACAUUUACACACAUAUAAACUGAGCGACUGACGAACAGGGGUUCUUCGGUGUUGUGCAAUUUAGGACUUGGAUGUGGUGGAGGCUUUGGUAGAGAGCGAUUCUGCUAUUGCGUCACACCGUUGUGCAUGAUCGUCACUUUGCCCUUCAAUAUUCUCUUUUUCCUCUGCUAUUCUCGGGUAGGUAGUUAAUAGAACCACAAACUGAAGCUUGCGAUAGUUCCCAGAUUUUGUUCAUAGAAUUUAAUGCUUAGGGGUUUAUAGAAUUCAUAGGAUUGUAUUUAGGAAAUCCUAUUAUUGUUUUAUUGUCUUAGGGGUUUAUCCUCUUAGCGUAUGAAUAUUUGUGUUCUAUAUACAACAUCUUACUGUUGGGAGAGGAACCAGAUUAUGCAGCAAAAUAUAUGAACCAAAAUUGUACAGCAAAAACACAGCAAGAACAGAAAAAAUAACAGCAGCAAAGACACCAAUUUUAACGUGGAAACCCUUCAAUGUGAAGGGAAAAACCACGGGACAAUCUCCGAAGAACUUCCACUAUGAUAAAUGAGAUUACAGCCACCAAUCUCUCUAGAUCACUAGAGGAAAAACUCUCAAGAGAAACACUCUUGGAUACACAAACAUAAGAAGACUUAUCAGAGAAAGGAUUGCUGUCCUCUUUCUCUCCUAUCACAGCAAAACACUCUUCUCACUCUAACCAAGGUUACUGAGAGCUGAAUACAUAAAACACACAGACUCUUCCAGUCUUCUUGAGAGAAUGAGAAAUACACCAAAAACGAGUUACAGCAGAAGCACGCCUUCUUUUGGAAAACUGAAACGACCCUUUUUUUUUCUUUCUCCAAGAUAGAGUCCAACUUGGGCUAAAACACUCAUUUAAUUAGAUUUCUAGCAUGAGCAGCGAAUUAACUCCAACACUUACGACUCUGGCUUCGGCUCUAAUUCUGCUUUCACUAUGACAUAGUUGUUCAAGUUUGUUCCUUUUUUCCCAGCUUUUCAUCAGUUUUACUAAUCUUACAACUGGCUUUGGCUUUAAUUUUGCCUUUUCAUCAGUUUACUAAUUUGAGGUUUUUUUUUUUUGCUUCUUCGCUUUCCUAAUUUGAGGUUCAAAUUAGUUGUUCAAGUUUGAUUUACAGAUUUGUAUUGAUAUUUUCAAUUGCUUUGGGUUUUCUUUUCUUUUCUUUAGGAAUCAGAGAAGUGUGUGAAGGAAUUGGAUUUGCUUAUCAUAGACUGGGUUAAUAUGGGGAGUGGAUUGUCAUGUUGGAGGGAUUGAGCUCCAGGUAACCUUUUGAUUUGGUUGAAUUGUUAAAAACUCCAGAGCUGUAGAAACAACACAAAACAGUACACAGAAGAGAUAAAAACAAUUAGAGGAAUACCCUGUUCAACCAAUACUCGAUCACUGAUCCAAAAUAAUUUUGCUCUUUAGAAUCUAUGUUACUGUUAAUUAAAAGCAUUAAGAGAAAGAAAAAAGCAUAAGAGCUGAUUCUAUUAAAAGUUGUCAAAUGAAUUUUUUUUGUCAAAAUUCCAAAAAAGAGAGGACCAAAAGAACACAAGAAAAACUACUUCUCCAGGUUUUUAUAUACUUAAAUACCUAAUCAUCGUUUUCCUAUACUGUGCCACAAGAAGAGUGACUUAAAAAAGUAGGUGCGCCCUUCUAUGUUGUUCUUAUUCAUAUUUAACAAAUCCUGAUAUCUGCUUCCCUAUUUUUUUUUUUAAUUCAAUUCAGUCAUUUACGAAAUGCAUACCAAUGUGUGUCUAUGAAAUGCAUACCAAUGUCAGUUAUGAAACAAAUAAAGAGGGCAUUUAGGUAGCAGUAGAAAUGUAAUAACAGUGUAUUUAUCAGUCUAUGCUUCCAUCUCUACAGAAACUGUUACAUUCUUAAGUAAACCUUCCUACAGAAACAAUAAACUUGUUUCUGUUCUAAUCAACUAAAGGACUCUGUUGGUUGAAAUUUGGUUGUCUUGGGAUAGAUGAUUUAUUUCAUAGUUAUCUUUUGUUUCCCCUACGUAUGUUUUUAGUAUCCCUCUUAUUAUUAAUUCUAACCUUUUGCUUUGCUCGCAGUAAAACAGGGAACUCCCAGCUCAUAUUUUGUUUGACGAUAUUGACUUUUUCCUGAAUGACUUGCAAACAUGAUUCACUCUAUUUCUUUUUUGUAAGCUGUUACUUCUCAGUCACUUUAUUUUGGACUUGGCUCAACUAACCUUUCACUUGAUUUUCUAAAUAUUCUUUUAUAUAUUUUUGGUAUCAAAUAAGUACAUCUACGGUCUCUAUUGGUGGAGGUGAAGAUGCAAUACAAAGAAGCUGAAGAACGAUUAUUAGAACAGACAAGGAAAAAUAAAGAGAAACUAUAGAUUUUUGAACAUCUUAUUCCGAUCUUGAUGUAAGUUACCCUUCUUUCUGUAUGUAGAACUGUGUUUAUUCAUUUUACUAUUUUAUUUAGGUGGCAGUAGUUCUUUGGCUUUAAUGACAAGGUUGAUUCUUUUUUUUUCUUUUUUCUUUUUCUCUCUUUUGUGUACAAAUUGCUGUCACAUUGUGCAUGCAAUUUGAAGUUUAUUUAGGGCUAUGGCUAGAAAUUUUGGAUCCUGGAUUGGUUUGAGUGGUAUUGAAGUUGUUUAGUUUCUGAUUUGAAAGAGAAAUUGAGAGUGAAAGAAAUGCGAUGCUGAUUGUGGUUGGAGAUAGUUGUAGAAGUAUGGAACUUGCCUGUAAAGAGAUUCUGAUAAAAACUUAAUAUUUAAAGUGUUGUACUGGCUGCAAUAUCACCAUCAUCUACAUAUCUGUUAUAAGAAAUAAUUUAAUCAAUUAAAAAGUUUUGAGUGUUGGUAACUGUGGAUCUGUACUGCGAUUGGUAGAACUAAUAAUGGAUACUUUCAUUACUCAUCUUUCUGUGAAUAUGGUUUAGUAAUAGCUUUCAAUUUUCAUUUACAGUAAAGUUUUGAUGGAAAUUCCUAACUUCCGUCUAGAGUAGUAAGACAUAAAAGUGAACUUAGCACAUGUAUCAGAACAGUCAACGAUGCCAGGUUGUGCAUGUAUGCAUUUAGCCGGUGGUGCAACCUAUUUGGCUAUUCCACAAAAGUUAACAAAGUCUUAGAGAAUUUUUGUUUUUUCGGUCUAGGAAUGAUGCAUUGCAUUUGUGUUCUUAUUUUCUUUCCUUUUUAGAUUUUUUUUGUUUGGAAAUGCUAGACUGAAUGCCAAAUGUUGUUUUCAUGUCGUCGUAAUUUAAUAUGUUGAUUGGUGUUAUAAUUUGUUUUUAUAGGUUUGAUGUGCAUGAGAAGAUGAAUAGAUAUGUUGUGAGGCUUAUAUGUUGUGUGAUGCCUAUUUCUUGCACAGGUGACCAUUGCAAACAGUAGAGGGCUUUAUGGAUACCAUUGCAUCCUUCUCUUCAACUCUAGGUCCACCUUCCUCGACCAAAAUGAACUGACACAAUUCCGGUCGUGGGUGGCGGUGAUGGCUCCAGGUCUAGAAGGAUAUGUGACGGUUGCUCGGCGCUUGGAGGAUCGAUGAUGACAGAUGGAUAUGUGAUCGACUUUGCACUUUUGAAGGCAACAAGUUGAUAUUUAUAGGUUGUUUGCAGUGUUCUGCAAAAUUUUAAUGAUAUCUUUAAUAAAAUUGCAUGCAACUUGAAAUUGUGUAUAAAUUCUGCUAUUUUUUAUUAACCUAAAUAAACUAUCUUUAUUAUUUUCAUUAAUGUUUGUGUCACACCCUGAUCUUAGUGUAUGACUAAUGUGAUAGAUUAAGUUGAAAACAUAAAAGCUGUAAUUUUUAUUUUAUUUUAAACCCUUUUCAAGUACCAAAGAGCAGUCACUAAAAUCUUAGUUAAAGAUCUUCCAAGGAAGUAAGCUAUUAAAAACAAUGAGAUGAAAUCUGAGAACUAGACAUGCCAUGAAAUUCAAACAUACUUUCUUUUCAAGGACAUGUAAAAUUGAACAGUAUUCCAAAAUAUAAUGUACAAGUUCUAAACACACUCUCUCCAAGGAUUCUUAAAACUUGCUUUUCCACAAAUCCUAUGUUGCACCGACACUCCACACCCCUGGAGUGUCGGAGUGUCUGACACUUCCGACACGCGCCCGACACGGCAAAAUCCGUGUCCGACACCCCACGUGGCGUGUCCGAAAAUGUUGACUUUUCGGACACGUCGUGGACACGUUGACCUCUUCCGACACGCCACUGCGACACGCCACGUCAGCAAGAACUUAAAAAAAAAAAAAAUAAACUGAAGUAAUUGAGGCAGUGAGGCACGCUCGGAUUAGAACUCUCAUUCUCUUUCUCUUCUCUUCUCUUCUCUCCUCAGUCCUCUCUGUGCUCUUCUCUUCACCGAAUCGAUUCCCAGACGAAGAAGACGCUCACCUUUCGCCACCCAUUCUCACCAUUCGCCAGUCGCGCCAAUCAGCCACCCAGUCGAUCUGGUCACCGAUCUGACCUCUUCUCUCUACUGUCCGCCAUCGCCAGUCGCCAGUCGCCAGUCGCCAAUCCGCCAGUCGCCACCCCGCCAGUCGCCAGUCCGCCGGUUGUAAGGUUAGUUCAUUUUCCAGUUUUCCUCCUAUAUCUGAUAGUUCUACUAAAUCUUCUUCCUAAAAUACAAAAAAAAAAAAAAAAAAAAAAUACCUUCUCCUAUGUGGUAUUGCAGAUUGAAUUCAAAAUUAGAUGUGUUUGAGACUUGAGUUAAGAAGUUAAGGAGCUAGUUUGAGUUAAGGAGCUGUUAAGUUUGAUUUGAAUUCAAUAUUGCUUCUGUUAAGUUUGAUUUGCACCUGUUAAUUAAAAUAUAGGUGUUGCUUGAUUAUGGAUUGAUUCUUUGUUGCUCAAAUUGCUUAUUCUAUAUUCAAUGAAUCAAUUGUAUAAAUAGGAUGAGCUCAAGUGCUGCUUCAACUGAACCUAGUGUUGAGUCGAAUGAGCCAGAAAAAAUCAGCGCUCCUCUUUGGAAAUAUGUCACUAAAGAGCCAGUGAUUGAUGUUGAUGGGACAGUGAAAAUAGGGGGAGGAAAUAUUCUUUUUGUGUGCAAUUUCUGCAAAAAGAAUUUUAAGGGUUCACAUUCUAGAGUGGAGUGAAAGCUCAUAUGCUUAAAAUUCCAAGGGUAAACCACAACAUGCGUUUGUCUAUGUACAAUGAUCAUUGUUCCUUGAAGUUGCUCCAAGUUGCCGAGACAAGGUUUGCUUCUCAUUAUGUUGUCCUUAAAAGGUUUAGGGAUGUGAAGAGUGGCUUGCAACAAAUGGUUAUUAGUCCAAAAUGGGAUAUCUAUAAAGAAGAUAAUAUUCCUAAAGCAAGAGCGGUGAAGGACAUGCUAUUGAAGGAAAGCUUUGGGAGCAAAUUGAUUUCAUGAUUGCCCUCAUGAGUCCUAUACAUGAGAUGAUAAGGAUGUCGGAUAUGGAUAGACCUUGCCUUCACUUAGUUUAUGAGUGGUGGGAUUCGAUGAUUGUGAAAGUGAAGAAAGCGGUUUUUGACCCUCAAUUUGCCCAUGUCAUAACGGAGCAUUGUAUUGUGACAAGAUUUUAUGAUGUGGUGCAUCAUAUCCUUAUUGCUCGGUGGACCAAGAGUUGUAGACCACUUCAUUGCAUGGCACAUUCCUUGAAUCCAAGGUACUAUAGCUCUCAAUGGCUUGAAGAUGAUCCUAACUGGAUUGCUCCGCAUAGAGAUGUCGAAUUCAACAAUGAAAGGAAGAAAUGCCUUCAAAAGCUCUAUCCGGAUGCUCAAAUUCGUAACAUAGUGAUGGAAGAAUUUGCAUAUUUUUCAUUAAACAUGGGUGAUUAUUCAUCGGCCGAAGCUUUGGAGAAUAAGUUUCAUUUUGAGCCUUUAAUUUGGUGGGUUGCCUAUGGACCUUCUACACCAUAUCUACAAAGUUUGGCUUUCAAAUUGCUUAAUCAACCUUGCUCAUCUUCUUGCUGCGAAAGAAAUUGGAGCACAUAUAGUUUUAUACAAGGUUUGAAGAGGAACAAGUUGCAACCAAAAAGAGCUCAAGAUUUGGUUUAUAUGCAUACAAAUCUUCGACUUUUGGCAAGAAAGGAUUCUAACUAUCACAAGGACAAAGACUCAAUGUGGGAUCUUGGAGGAGAUGGCCAUGAAUCUAUGGAACCCGCCAAUAUUGAUGUGCUUGAGUUGGCAACUUUAUCUCUUGAUGAGCCGGCAUUGGAGAGGAUGCUAAUUGAUGAUGAGAUGGAGUCUUGAAGAUGAGAGGUAAAUUUUCUUUUCAUUUUAUAUUAGAUCAAUUAUGGAAUAACAAGUUUGGAUGAAUUAUAGAUAUGAUAAUUAUAUUAGUUUAUCUUCUUGUCUAUUAGGUGUCCCUUUGGUUUAAUUUAAUGAUUCAUUGUGUCAUUUUCUUUGCAGGGAAUUCUUGUCUUUUUUUUCCAUGUUAUUGUAAAUAUUUGGUACUUUGACAGUGUAAUUGUCUUUUGUUCCAUGUUAUUGUAAAUAUUUGGUACUUUGGCAGUGUAAUCUUAGUCUGUAGUGAGUGGCAGUUUAUCAUUUUUGUUGUUGUAUUAGUUUUAAGUUUUAACUGUGCGCUGUGGUAGAGAUUACCCUGUUUAAAAAUAAGCUACUGCUCAAGUUUGUUUUUCUUUAAUAUGUUUUAGGUGCUCUUUUUAAUGGUAUUAGUUAUGUACUUGACUUAUUUCUUAUGUUUAUGAAAUAGAUUGAAUUUAGAACUUUAUUUGGUAAUGUAAUGAACUUAUUUUAUAUUUUAGUAUUUUUUAUUUAUUUAUUAAAAAUACAUAAAUAUAUAAUUCUAUUUGCCGUGUCCAUGCCGUGUCGGAAACUCAGUUUUUGAGUUUUGCCGUGUCGCCGUGUCGUGUCGCCGUGUCCGUGUCCGUGCAACAUAGCACAAAUCUGUAAACAGUCUAGUAACAUAGAACGAAUGUAGAAACCUUUCAAAACAACUUUAAUGCUUUGCUCCGUUGCCUCCAAAGGCAGAAUCACUCUGUAACCACUAUGAAAUAAAACUUGAAAACUAAACAUCUCAUGUAAUGCAAGUAUAGUUUCAUUUCCAAUGAUAUAAAACUGCAUAGUAUCCCAAUAAAUGUACAAAACUUGAACACAUCUUUACUUCUUGUUUCCAUUACUUUCAAGAGUUCAAAACAAAAAUAGAAUCUGAUCUAUGAUAGAGAGAGCUUUUCAAUUAAUACAAUAAGAUAGUAUCUUUCAAAACAGUCCAUCACAUUUGGUACCAAAAAGUAUAGCAGGUUCUUUCCACAUAAAUACUCAACUGUUCUAACCUUUCCAAAACCUGCUAAUAGUGAAGCAAACUUCUCAAAUGGUGGCAACACAUUCCAAUCCAAGAUAACAAAGGUAUUUGAACAAAUAGCGAAGCACAAAGAGCACACAUCACAGAUAUACAACCACCUAAACUUCAGACCAAGAGCUCCAGAAUAUUAAUAUCAUGUCCCCUCACUACUACAAAAAAAGCUUUAAUGACAGCAAAUUUAUGACGUUUGCCCGAAAACGUCAUUGUAUAUUCUUUCCAUGACAUUUUCGGACGCAAACGUCAUGGAUCUGAAUUUCGUCCGAAAUUUAUGACGUUUGUCAAACUUCAUUGUAUGUCUCACUAUUUAAUGAUGUUUUUCACCUGUCAUCUUUCUUAUGACAAUUUUCAAACGUCAUGAAAAAUAUUUCUAUGACAUUUCAAAAAUGUCAUGAAUGAUAAAUGAACCAUGACGAUUAGAAAAACGUUAUGGAAAAUGUUUGAAUGACGUUUGAUAAACAUUGUCAAUGACAAAUAAACUAUGACAUUUUGUAAACGUCAUGAAAAGUUUUACCCAGCCCCUUCAUCUACAAACAAAUUUCCACUUAGACCCGCCCUUUAAUUUCACCCAAAAUUUAAAUUUCCCCCUUUCUCAUUUUAGUUUUAAAUUUUAACUUUUCCUCCAAUUAAAUUAAAUAAAGGUUUCAAACUUUGACUAAACUCUAAACCCUAGCAGCCUUCCUCAUUUCCUCUUUAUUUCUUCUUUGGUUGCACCGCCGCACAACUCUCUCUCUCUCUCUCUCUCUCUCUCGUAAACACAGGUGGCCCUUCCACUCUCGGCCUCUCCUCUGCUGUCUCCAAGUCUCUCCAACCCUCUCAAGCUCAUAGCAUCCACGCUCCUUCACUGUUUUUCCGGUCUCAACCGUCUCCUCUGCCUUGAUGCUCGGUUCAAGAACUCUGCCUCCUCAAUCUCUAGUACGGCCUCCUGCUUCACAUAGUUUUUUGAUUUUGAGUUUGGAUUCGGUUUGUUGAUGAUUUUGGGAUUGUUGUUGUUUGUAGAUCCGGAUUCACCAACCAAUCUCCCACACAUCUCCCAUGGACCCAGCAGAAUCAGAACGUGCAGAGCGACUGGAGCCGCAAAUUGAAGGAGCGGAAACAGAGAAGAUGAGGCUGAUAUCAGGGUACCCUAUCAUAGCUACCAGCCUACCAGACCCUUUCAAACUCUGAAAGAAAAACAUUAGGUAAGACACAUUCAUUUGCUUGCAAUUAUCAUUAAUCUUUAAACUAUUAUUUGGUUCUUAAUCUUCUGCUCAAGGUGAUUGUUGCAUCAGUCUCACUUCUUCAUUUGUUGUAUAGUGGUGGAGUACCACAGGGGAAAGGUUUCAAAUGCACUAGAAGGAUAAUGACAUCAAAAGCAGUCUCUCUUUUCCGCAAUUUUUACGAGCAAGGAAACCCAAAUGGUAUCUAUUUUAGGAAUAAUUUAUGUUUGAUUUUAGACUGCAUUCAGAGGGCAGAAUCAUUCAAAUUUGUUUUCUCUUUUGAAUUCAUUAAUUCCUUUGCUCAAGUUAGGGAUCUGAGUUUGUAGCAUGUCUUGCUCGGUGCACCUCACCAAAAUUUAAAUUUGGUCUACAGGUGAAAUCAGAAUAGCAAUUUUAUGAAAGCUACUGGAUUGAUACAUAUGUAGAUUAGCGUCUUUUUUUUUGGUAGAUAGCUUGAUAAAGAGAUAGACUUAUGUAUGAAGUCAGUGUAUCUUAAUAUCGAAUCUUGUUUGCUUAAGGAGCAAAGUUUGUUUGCUUAGAUACUGCUUUUUCAUUGGAGAAGACAUGCAAAGGAAAGUCUACAAAUACUCAGUUUUUUACUUAAAUUGAUAUGCUCAGUUCAGCUUUUUGAUUAUGUAUCAGUAGUGGCUUUUUAGUUCAGUUUGCUCAGUUCAGUUAUAUAGUUAUAUCAUGUAUAGCUACUUGCUCUAUUUGAGCAGUGUGUUGCUGUGUACUUGUUUAAUGUUGUGUACUAGUUGUAUUUGAUUUUGAUAGUAGUCCAAUCUGAUAUGUGUGCAUUUUGGUGUUGCAGGUUCUGUUAUUUUGGAUUAUAAGGGUGAAGCGGCUUAUACUUAUGAUGUAUGGUCAAUGUUUAAACUUGUUUGAUUAUAAGUACUUGUUUAAACUUUUGCUGUUGCUUAUGGUCAAUGUAUAUAUAUGAUCAUGCCAUAAGCUGCAACUUUUAGCUAGCUAGCUAGGUAGGACAUAAACUAUUUGAUGGCUGGACUUUUGUAUCAUUAGUACUAUUUGAUGAUGGAUGUAAUUGCUUGUGAAUUAUAGUUUCAUAAGCUUGCAAUUGUAGUCCAAUCUGAUAUGUGUGCAUUUUGGUGUAGCAGGUUCUCCUAUUUUGGAUUACAAGGGUGAAGUGGCUUUUGCUUAUGAUCUUGGUUUGACUUGGAGUUUAUAGCAGAGCAAUUUCUUUUAGACACUCUGUCAUGUAAUACUUAUUGAGACUAUCCACUUUAUUUAGAUACUCUUUCAUAUAAUACUAAUAGAUGAAUUAUGAUAGUUUAUUAAUAAAACUACUGAAUUGUGUCUCCUUUAUGAUUUGUAUACAAAAUACAUUUGAUUUCUGAAUUUAAUCAGAAAAUCAAUUUUUUUUUUUAAAUAUGAGAAAAAAUCAAUGACAUUUGAAAAACGUCAUCAAAGAUUUUAAACAACGGUUCAUAAACAUCAUGAAUUAUUUUCUAUGACGUUUGAAAAACGUUGUAGAAGAAUCUUUCAUGAUGUCUUGGAAACAUCAUUGAAAUAUAAUAGAUAACACUUACCAAACGUCAUUAAAGAUUUUUUAUGACGAUUUACAAAUGUCGUUGAAAGGGUACGAAAUCCAUGACUAGGGUAAAGACGGCGAAGUAGAUGACGUUUGAUAAAUGUCAUGAAACCCUUAUAAUGACAUUUUUCAAACGUCAUAGAAACUUUUUCUGUACUAGUGCCUUAUGAACUACCUGAAAUCAACAUCAAGAAUAUAGGGAAUGAGCUUCACAAGCUCAAUAGGUACGACAAAAUAAUCUUUAUAACAAAGACUCUAAUUCAAUAUGCACUUGGAAAUGAAAGGCAGAAACAUACAUGAAGCUUUAGGAAAAUAACCAAGGAAAUGAGAUUAAACCCCAAUAAUUACUGGUGCACUUACGAAAGAAAGCCAAAGAUUCAGAAGCAAUAUAAAUGAACUCAACUCAAAGUUAACACUGAAACUGUGGAUAUCAACUUUACCAAGUAUCACAAUCAUUAACAAUUUACAUGAACGAAGCGGAAGAAGGCUGAUCAUGAGGGUAAUCUGACAACAAGGCCAAGCCAACAGAUAUAAACAUCAAUAGAUGAUUUCUAACAAAAACAGCAGCAAGAGAUUUGGGGUUUCCAAACUGUUGGAGUAUUAGCAUCACAGAUGAUGACAGAUAAAGAAUAAUUUGACCAACAAUGAACCAACAAUAAGCACAUACUCCAACCAAAGAUGGGAAGUAUUGGAUUAUUCUAUAAACAGAAUUAGCUUUAUGAAAAUAAUAUCAAUGAAUUACGAACACUUUCAAACAACGACCAAGUUCUCACAAGAGAAGGACAUGAACGGAUAUAGCUACUCAUUUAUACUUGAAAGUAAUUUGCAGCAAGGCAAGAUUAUUGAUGAACUUUGCUUUAAGAACUCUACACAUGGAAUUAUAAUUCAACUUAAUAAGGAGAUAUUUCAUAAACAUCUGGACGCAAGGAGUCUAUUUUAAUAUAAGAUUUGAUGAAGUUAAUCAUUGUAAACAUGGGAAGAGGAUAACGAAUACAAAUACACAUAUGUUGCACAACCUUUGCAAAAGGAGAAUAAAGAUAACAGUAGUAAGGCUAACUGGUGGGGAUAUUUUGAAGAGUUCCUGUAGAUUUUAUAUUUCAGUUCUGGUUUAAAAACAAGUAUAUAAACACAGAUGGAUUAGGGUGCUAAUAUAAAGAUCUUGUAUAUGAAUGAGCUAUGACAACAAACGGACAUCAGGAAUAGAUCAAGAAAUAAACUCUCAAGUGCCGUCAUAAGAAGCUUCUUUUGAAAUCAUCAGGUACUAUGAUGAAACAAGAUUUGACAUAGAACAGAUUUUCAUUAAAAUAUUUUCAAGGAUGUACCAAAAUAUAUAUGGAGUCAUGGAUGCAACUAAACUUCAUAAGAAAAGAUUUUGAAGGGAAAGGACGUGGGCUUCUGUGCAUACUUCAAAGAACUCCAACAUGGAUAUUACAAGGCUAACAGUUUAUAUUAAAACUAACAUAUCCAUAACAAGGACACUUGAACCAUGGAUAAGCAGCUAUCAACAUACUCAUAUGAUCAUAUCAGAAAGAAUUAAAACGAAUGAGACAUCAAAACUGUCACAUCCCGACCCUUAUAUUUUUACCUUAUUUACUAGCGUGAUUAUAAUAAGAAUUUUACCGUCUCGAUCAUUGAGUAAAUAGUUUAAUUGGUCCCUAGAGGGGUUUCGGGGACGAUUAUGUGCGGAGGAUUACUAGUAUGAGGAAAAUACGACGACGGUAAAAAUGGUAAAUUUUAGCUAGUAAAAGGUAAUUUUUUAUUCGGGUAUUAUUUUUUCGGGGUGUUUUUAUUUUUGGAAUUGGGUUGAUAUAGGUUGGACCGGUGGAGGCCCAACCCAUUUCUUUUUCCUCCUCCCUUUCUCUUCUUCCCUCUUUUCUUUUCCUCUCCCCGAGCCUCCCGCUGCCCGGUUUUCCGGCCGUCCUCCCGCCGCCGUCCGGCCACCAACCGCCGCCGCACCGGUCCCAUUCGGUCGGUCUCCCUCCCAGCAACAUUUCUAGACCGGUGACAGCCUCCCUAGCGCCGUCGUGAGGGAGAAACGCCGCCCGAAAGCUCCGACUGCCGAAUCGGUUUUCUCGCCGGAACUCCCUCCUCCUGCUGCCAUAUCCGGCGAGCCUUAGCCCAAAAGGAAGCCCUCCUCCCGUGCUUCAAUCUCUCCAAAGGGCUCGCUCCGUCGUGAGCUAGGUAAGGAGAAAUGGGAACUUGAAAUUUCUAGGGCUUUUUGUGUAUUUGUGUUCGAUUGAUGUGCUUAGGCUUAGAAUUGGAGUUUGUGGUAGUUAGGAAUGUUGUAGAGGAGGUUGAGAGGAAGAUGCUGCCAAAAUUUGGUAGCAUUUGCAGGUCGCCGGAAAACGGCUGCCGGCCGCCGCUGCCGGCGGAGCCGCCGCCGGUUAGGAGAUUUUUAGGGUUUUAAAUGUGGAAUAUUAAGAGGAGUAUAUUGGUGUGAUUUAUGGAAUUUUUGGAUGAGAUUUGGAUAGGUUUAUGAAUUUCCGAAGUUUGGUAUUUUUGGCGGUUAAUUAAUGUAGAAUCCGGCCGUAGGAUUUAAGUCGUAUUUUGGAGAGGUUGUAUUUACGACUGUUGAGUAUGAUAUUUAAGUUCGGAUCGUUCCGAUGUAAGAAUAUCGAAGUUAGGCAAUGAUGAGCGUAAUUAUGGCUCUCGGGUAAUUUUGCCUAUUGUGAUUAAAUAUUGGAUUAUUUGGUUGGGAAUUAAUAUUAUAUUU
rnacentral:lncRNA from 1 species